GUGUGAAGUGUGGUGUGAACGUGUGCAAAAUGAAAAGUAAAAGGCCAUGGGACUUUGGAAAGCGACGAUUUGGCCAAAUGAGAUUUUAAAAAGGGUUUUUUAAAUAUGAAAACGGAGUCGCCACUUGGUAUAGAUUUGGGGUGUACCAAGUCACCCAAAAAGUAUUUUUUAAAAGAAUUAUUUAAGUUCAGCUUAUAGCCCCAAAAGUAUUUUCUUUAACAUGCGAUAUCAGAUUUCUUGGUCAAAUUGCAUUUUCCUUACCAUGCUUCCAAUAAUGUUUUCAUGGUCUAAGAAAUUUUGUUUUUUGGUUUUCAAUUUUUGAUGUUUUCGUCUUGAAUUUUUAGGUUGCAAAGAGAUUGGAGAAGUUUAAAACAACAAUUUUCACACAGAUGAGCAUGCUUGCCAUUAAGCAUGGGGCUAUUAACCUGGGGCAAGGCUUUCCCAAUUUUGAUGGUCCUGAAUUUGUUAAAGAAGCAGCUAUUCAAGCCAUUAAAGAUGGAAAAAAUCAAUAUGCUCGUGGAUAUGGUGUGCCAGAUCUCAAUUCAGCUGUUGCUGCAAGAUUUCAUCAGGACACUGGACUCCUGGUUGACCCUGAAAAGGAAGUAACUGUGACCUCAGGAUGCACUGAAGCAAUUGCUGCAACCAUUUUAGGCUUAAUAAAUCCUGGAGAUGAAGUCAUCCUUUUUGCUCCUUUUUAUGACUCAUAUGAAGCCACCUUAUCCAUGGCUGGUGCUAAAGUAAAGAGUGUAACACUACGGCCUCCCAAUUUUUCAGUACCUCUUGAUGAACUCAAGUCUGUUAUCUCCAAGAAUACUCGAGCAAUCCUUAUCAACACUCCACAUAACCCCACUGGGAAGAUGUUCACUCGAGAAGAGCUCAGCUUGAUAGCAUCUCUGUGCAUUGAGAAUGACGUUCUAGUUUUUGCAGAUGAAGUUUAUGACAAACUAGCUUUCGAAAUGGAUCACAUUUCUGUGGCGUCCCUUCCUGGGAUGUACGAGAGGACUGUCACUAUGAAUUCAUUAGGGAAGACUUUUUCCUUAACUGGCUGGAAAAUCGGGUGGGCAAUAGCUCCUCCACAUCUGACAUGGGGAGUGAGACAAGCCCAUUCAUUUCUCACCUUUGCAAUCGACUCCCAUGCAGUAUGCAGCUGCAACAGCGCUUAGAGCCCCAGACUCCUACUAUGAGGAGCUAAAGACUGAUUACAUGGCAAAGAAAGCGAUCCUUGUCGAUGGAUUGAAGGCUGCAGGUUUCAUAGUUUUUCCAUCCAGCGGAACUUAUUUCAUAAUGGUGGAUCACACUCCUUUUGGGCUGGAAAAUGAUGUUGCCUUCUGCGAGUAUCUGAUCAAGGAAGUUGGAGUUGUGGCAAUUCCAACUAGUGUCUUUUACUUGAAUCCAGAAGAGGGAAAGAAUCUUGUAAGGUUUACCUUUUGCAAGGAUGAGGAAACUCUUAGAAGUGCGGUUGAGAGAAUGAAAGCGAAGCUGUCCAAGAAGUUCUAACCCACGAGGCAUGUUUUAGAAAUACCUCAUUUAUAUGGUGCUACUAUUUGUAAUAUGCAGCUGUGGUGUUGCGUGGGACAAUAAAUUGUGACUGUUACCAUUGGCACCAUAAGGAAUUGCAAAAACAAAAAUACUUAUGGGAUUUAAAGUUCUAUUGAUAAAUCAUUUCUAUGAUGGGAUUAUUUCGGAAACCUCCCCUAACCUGAUAAUUAACUUGUCACCCUUGAAGUUUCAAAUGUUUUACUUAUCUCUCAUAUUAGUGAGAUGGGGCCACUAAUCAUCAUUUAUGAAUUUGAUAAAAUUACCCUGAUUGCUUACAAUUUUUUUACGGUUAAAAAGUAUGGAAGAAAAAAAUUGAAAUCGCCAAGAUUAAAUGGCUGUUUUAACAUUUUCGUUUUUACUUGGACCAUCACACUUAUUUAGCCCCCCUAUGCCAACCACGUAUUAAGUUAUCCUUAUUAUUCUAAUAAUUAUUUAGGAAAAAAAAUCUUAUUUAGUCCUCCUGUGUCAACCAUGUAUUAAGUUAUCACUGUUAUUCUAACAAUUAUUUUUAAAAUUAAAUACCUUCUCCAAAAAAAUUUUUGAGUCCUCCUAAGUAAACUUUAUAUUAAAUAACCCUUACCAUUCUAAUUUUUUUUAAGUAAAAAAGUUCGAAAGAGAAAAAAUACCAAAAUUCUUUAAAAAAAAUGCUUAUUCUAACGACCAUUUUUACACUUAAACAUCUCACUGCCUCACUUUCAAUUCUCCUAUGCCAACCUUAUAUUAAAUUUUCAUUACAUUCUAGCAACUAUGAAAAAUUUUUGGAAGAGGAAAAGCCAAAAUUCAUGAGAAAUUCAUAUAAAGUUUUCUAUAAACCAAUUGUUUAUAUAAAGUUUUCAUAUAAAUUACCCUCGUUAUUUCUAACAAUUGUUUAUGCAGAAACUUUGGAAAAAGAAAAAUCAAAAUCCAUAAAAAUUGGCUAUUCUACUAAUUGCUUUUUCACUCAUACACCCCCCUCUCUCCGACUUCAAUCCUCGUAUGCAACCUUAUUUUUAAAAUUUUUCUAGGGAAUAGGUUUAGAAAGUGAGAAGAGGCAAAGGAGAAUUUGAAUUUAGAAACUCUCGGUUCUCAAGUUUCAACUUUAGUCACUCGACUAAGACCUUCUCGACUUAUCUUUACUAUUCUAACAAUUAUUUAGGGAGAACUGUUCAAAAUAUUUUUUACAUUUCGCAAAAUGAAUUUUUUCUCCCUUAUGUUUAAAAUAUUAACUUUACAUCCCCUACAAAAUCAAGUCGGCCAAUUUUGGUUUUCAACUUAGGUUUCUGACUAUCUUUUAACCUGAAUCCAUCAUGUGAAUCCAUACGUAAUUGUUUUUUUGAUGUACAGAAAGAUUAAAUCACAUUUAUAAUUAAACAAAUUGCUUGACCUAUAUUCAUUUUUGCUGCUAAGAUAUAGUCAUUUUUGCACUUUAUCCCUAACAUUAUUUUUUCUCACUUUUUUGCCUAAACCAUUAGUCAAUUCUAACAUUGUGUAGUGGUAAUGUCAAAAAGACAUUUAUACCCCUAAGAGUUAACCACAGGAAAUCCCCUUAACAUAUAACUUGUUUUGGGUUUUAUUCCCAACAUUAUUUUUUCUCAAUUUGUUUGUUUGUUAGUAAAAUCAUUAGUGAACUCCAAUAUUUGAUAACACCCAAGACAAAUAAUCUCUAAACAAUUAAUAUUCCUUACAUAAUAAUGAAAAAAAUAAUAUUUUAUAAAUGUGGUCCUAGUUAAAUUUCAUUCCAUAAUCACUUUUUUUUUGGAUUGAGGAGAAUAUCUUGCUAAUUUGACAUAAUAAUAGAAAAUAAAAAUUUUUAUUGAAAAAUUAAAAUGUGAAAUAUAUUUAUAAGUUCAAAAUAGUCAAGAUAUUGUCAGUUUCUCUUUACAAUUGUGCAUAUGGCUAUACUUUUCUUUUAAUUGCUAGAUAUUUCUUUAUAUGAGAGUAUAUAUUUUUUCUGUUGGUAAUACUAAAAAAAGAGAGAAAUAUGGUUGAUUUGGGUUUCAAAGUUUCUUCUUUUUUUGUCAAAAGUUUCAAAGUUUCCAGGGUUGUUCUUUUAAUAUACCAUACCUAGAUGCUUUUAAAAUUUAUUUGGAUUGCUAAAUUUUUUUUAAAAAAAAUUCUUUUUGCAUCAUACACACGUCUCUCAAUCAUCACUUUAUUUUUUUCAACCACCUUUUUGCUUAACAAACAUCAAAUUGCAAAGUACUAUUAUUAUAAAAAAAUUUCCAAAUAAUUUCAAUCCAAGCAAUUAAUUUAAUUUUGUACUAUAAUUUUUUCCCUUAUCACGUGAAAUGAGCGGGAUAUUUUCUUUAUCUAAAAUCUAUAAAUAUAGGAUAAAAUUUACAAGACCAUUAUCGAUAUAUAAUAUUUUCACUAUUAUGUUAGGAAUAUUUGAUUUUUUAACAUUAGUUAUCUUGAAUGUACAAAAAAAAUUAGAGUUCACUAAUGGUUUUAAAGACAAUUGACAAAUUAAGAAAAAUAUUAGAGGAUAAAGUGCAAAUACGCUAUACCUUAAGGGGAUUUACUAAAUAACAUUAGGGACAAAUGCAAAACUAGUUAAACCUUAGGGGAUUUUUUAUAAUUAACCCCUAAAAGAAUGGGAUCUAAACUUUUGCACCUAAGAAAUAACCACGUGUAGGUAACAUGGUUGAUUCAGGCUAAAAGGUAGUCAGCAAUUUUAGGUUGGACCAAAUUUGACUGACUUUAUUUUGUAAUGGACGAAAGUUAGCAUUUUAAAAGUAAGGGACCAAAAAAAAUUCAUUUGACAAAUGUUAAGGACGUUUUGAAUGAUUUUUCAAUUAUUUAUGCGAAAGAAAUUUGGAAGAGAAAAAUUUGACAUUCAUAACAAUUUUUUUGCAAUCAACAUAUCUCUCCUCCACAUUUAUACUCCUAUUCCAACCUUAUAUUACAUUUGCCUCAUUAUUAACAAUUAUAGAGGCAAAAAAAAAAAAAGAACCAUCAAAUUGAUUAAAAAAGUUAAUAUUCUAACUAUUAUCCUUGCAGUUAACACCGUACCCCAAAUUAUGUUGGCAUGGUGGUAGAUUUGAUGUUGAACUAGUGUCUUGUGGUGUGGGCAGUGGAGGACUAAUGAUGAUGUCCAAAUUACCACCAGUACUCUAGUUGUUUUAGACAAAUCUGUGAUCAAAAUCGUUAUUUACGUCAAACAAAGUUGGGGUAUAAAUUUUGUCAAGUUCUGCCACAAUGAUAGUGACGAUAUUUUACAAGUUGUAAAAACUCAGAACUCCAGCUACAAGCGCAUAGGCUAUAAACAUGUAUAGGAGAAUCGAGAUCGAUCCCACAAUGAACUAUCAAAGCUGUAAAACUACUCUAUUAUUUACAUAAUUCAUAAGCUCAUGUGAAAUCAAAUCUAUUUAUAAAAUACAAGUACACGUUGCACAAAUUUGAUCAAAAAAUGAAAGUAAACAGUGAACAAUUAGAGACAAUUUCCUAGGAUUUUCAACUUCCUCACUUGUCAAAGAUUGGGGUCUAAUCCGACUAAUUAAAUUUUGAAUCAUGUCAUGCCAUGCAGCAAUUUUCAAAUAUAUUCAACAUUCAUUUUUGUUAGUAUACCAACUAUACAUAUAAUUAUUUCAUCUUUACUUUCGUAGUGUAAACUAGUUACGAGUUUAUUAAGAUUUGUGCGAUUGCUUGGUAAAUUUUACAAAGAAGUAUCUCUAUUUUUGUGAGUUUACAACCUAGGGUUCAUGCCUUUACUAUCUACCAUCGAAGCUCAACUUUCAUUGGUUAUACGAUACAUUAGAUGGUUUGUAAUUAACAGCCAGUUAAUCACAAAGAUAAAGCGCGAAAGCAUGAAUUGGCAGGUAGAUAUUUUCUAAAUAGUUAUGUAUUUCAAAAGAUUUUGUCCCACAUUGAAAAACCAAAGAAACUUCCAAUCAUUUUAUAAAUCUUAUCAUCUUAGGGCUUGUGGCGAGUUAAGAACUAGUAUGGGCUCACGCGCACAAGAGAGAAUUUGAGUUGGCUAAUCUAGAGUAAAUUGGUGGAUUUGCAACCCCCUUCCUGCGCAUGGGUUACUUGAAAGGAUAGAGUUCUAAUGGAUAAAAUUUCUCUACUCCUCAUUUCUCCUUUUCUCCACACCCUCUACUCUCCUCCGCCUCUACUGGUUUAUUACAUUUGCUGUUCCUAUUCCCUCUUAUUAACUAAAAGGCUUGUUUAAUUUUGAGAAACAUUUCAAGGUGUUGGUUUAUUACAUUUACUGCUCCUAUUCCCUCUUAUUAACUAGAAGGCUUGUUUAAUCUUGGAGAAACAUUUCAAUACCUUGAAAUAGUUUCUUAGAAUAGUGCUAUUUAGCACGACUCAAGUUUCUAUCCAUUUCAUUAUUAUUUUGUUAACAUUGUUCGAAUUAUUUCCAACAAUCUAAGAAGCUAUGUCUUCCGGUGAUGUUAACGCAUCCCAGCUAUCAUAUGCAUUAGGAGCAGUCAUGUUUGUGACGACCCCACCUCCCCUAGGGCGUACCCAUGGUUUCGCGGACCGCCUGCUCAACUCUCGCCAGAACUCAUUCACUCUUAACAAAUAAAAUAAGGUAUAACCUCAAGAAUAAAUGAAAUAAUAGUUCCCAAAUUUGGAACGUGUACUUACAUUCAUAUCUAUCUCAAACAUUCAUACAAACCCAAAUAUAACAAAAGUUGUGAAUUCCAAAUACAUACAACCCUAACCGAGCACUAGCGCGAGUACAAUCGCAAAAAUUCAAAAACUAGACUAUGAUAGCCUGUACCAGUCUCACGCCCUCGCUCGUAUCCCCUGUAAGGAAAAUAAAACUAAACGAAUGAGUUAAAAGCCCAGUGAGGUUCCCAAACAAGUAAUCAAGCAAUUGAAACAAGGACAUUAGUCAUUUAAUAACAAUCAAUCGAGAAAACAUUCGCAAUAUAAAAGCAAUGAGAACACACUCAUUAAAAGGAUACAUGCUUACGUGGAGCCAUUCGUUCAUUCAUUCGCCAACCAUUUUCCUUAUCCCUCCAAUAUUAAAAAACAUUUGCAAGUGAAAACUCCUUCAGUGUUUUUGACACUCAUUCAUUGAUUUCAUUUUCCGCCACUAGCCAAUUCACUGGUCAGUUGUCCCAAUCUUCAUGAUCAUACUCGAGUAUACCAAAACACUGUUCCACAGUCACCAACCGCCUGACCGAGUCCGCUUCUGGCUCGAGUCGGCUGGCAACGAACGGCAAGGGCCCAAUUCAGCCACAAGGCUUACAUUCAUGCACAAGUAGCAUUCAAUCAUUUAAUCAUUGAAAAUUUCACGUUCACUUAGGUCGAGUGCAAUAAAGUACACACUCGCCUAUUGAAAAUUCAUUUAACAUUCAACCAAACAUUCACAACAAUCCACAUAGUCAUUGGAAGCACAACAUACAAAGAACACUCACUAAUAUGAGCAAGAGAUAUGUCAAAAGUUUCCUUCCGGGUUGUACUCCGGAUCACCAAAGAAACCUAGAUCAGUCAAAACAAAGGUAUUAUGGUUCAACUAAUCAAAAUCUAGAUGAACCAUCAAAAAUUCAGAAAUUACUUGUGCAAAUAUGAAAAUACAGUUUUAGAGUGAAUAAUAACAUUUGAACUUCCAAGUCACGAAAAAUCUUGAGUCGUUUCUCAAAUUCAAACAUAACGAAAGAAAAUUCCAGGAAUCAGUAGUUAAAAACAACCAAUCUCAAAUUGAAGUGAGUAAAUGUAAUUCAAAGUUUUCGAGAGAAAACUAACACUUUUCAUCUUAGUUGAUACCAAAUCUUGGUCAAAAACAACUCAUAUACUACUAUUGAAGUACAUUCAAGGAUACAUAUGUAACUUAAGAUCCAACUAAUCCUAAAAUCAAAUCUUACAUCUCACUAAUAUGUAUAAGAGCAAGUAAUAGAAUGUUAUUUAAUACUCCAAAAAGUCGUACCUUUGAAUAUGACGACCCCACUUCUCCUUAGGGCGAACCCUAGAGUUUCGGCGAGCCGUCUGCCUAACUCUCGCUAGGACUCACUACGAGCCAAAUAUAUAACUUCGAACUACCCAACCAACAAGUUACUAAUAUAUAGAAGAAGUCACUUCCUUCAAAAUGUCAUUCAUCAACUACACCAUAAUAUUCCAAAAUUACAUCAAGCAUCCCAAAUUACAACUAUCAAAAGAUCAAUUAAAUCAUUUACAUCCAUAACUAGACCAAAAUAUAGUCAAGGCCAGCGUCUCAAAAAAUCUCUCCACUUCAAAAUCGUGUUAAGGAAAUCAAAUUUAAAGGAGUAAGCUAACGUUCAGUGAGGCCAAGAAAGAUAGGCAAGCAAACAAGUACAACUAGCAUUGAUAAAGUAUAAAUCAAGAAAGGCAACAAUGAUAUUGACGUAAAAAUUCACAAGAGAAACAAAAACACUAUCAAUAAAGGAUACAUAAACUCUCAGGAGCUAAAUCCACAAUUCAUGCUAUGCCGGUACCUUUGAACCACGGUUUCAAAUCCGUAGAAUUCAUUUGACACGAAUCCCCAUCCACCAUUUCACCCUCUACCGGUACCACACGUCCACAAGGGUUUUGGUGAUACUCGAGUAUACCCACGUAAGAACAAGUAUGCUUCACUCAAGUUCAAGCAAGUACAAGUUUAUUCAAGAAAGGGAGGACAAGUAUGAUAAAGUACACCCUUGCCUCAUCAAGUUCAAUAUUUAACACAUAACACGUGGUAUCAUUCAAAUUAAAAUAUCAAGAAACAUGCACUUGGCACUCACCACAACCAAAAGCAAACGAGCAAGCAAGUCCUUUACGGUUCUGUGCUGAAAUUCCCUUUGAAAUUCUCUUAGACACUUGAAGCAAUUUCAACCAAUAAUCACGAAAUGCAAACCGUCUUUAGCCAAACCCCCCUCCCCCUUUAAACCAUCACUCAUGUACACCCUAAGUUACUUAGCACACAAGGAGGAAAAAUUCAUUCACUUAAUCAUCUAAAACAAUACAUCGAGAAGGGUCUAAAUCCUUCGAAUAACACCAUUCAAAAUGAGGGGUUAAAGUCACAAGAGACCCUGUAUCCAUCCAUGAAAUCAAACUUAAAAUGAACUAACAAUUUCAAAGGAAAGUUGGAAGUUCUUAAAAGAAACCAGAAAAUUCAGCUUUCUGCAACACUACUUGAAAAAUCAUAUCUUGAGUUCUGUAAAUCCAAAAAUUGCAAACUUUAUACCGUUGGAAACUAGAUUCAAAGGACUACAUUUUUUCAGAAGACACAUUUGUAAGAAUUUGUCCACAAAUCAGUCAAAUUCCAGUCUCAAUUUCCUACUUCAUCAGGUAGAAAAACAGAACAGGUGUGAAAUUUCAGUCAAUUUUAGAAAAUCAUAGAUAUUCAUAAGAAUUGAGAAAAUUUCUGAAAUUUUCACUGUAGAAAGUACUCUGAAUCUAGUUUCAAACGCAAAAGUAGAACUCAAUUUGGAUUUUUCUACACCAAGAUACGAUAGAUUUCCCAAAACUGCUUAGAGUCUCCUGUUAGAAAAAUUUUCAGCAACACUUGACCCAACCUUCUCACUUAAGCUCAUGUUUUUUUGCUCAAAUCCAACUUGCAAUCAAAGUUUAAUGUCUACAUAGUUUGUGGAGCAAAAUUUCCCCCAAAAUUUCUUGAAAAAUAAGGGCUAACAACACUCAAAAAUUUCGGCCAGCAUGAAGCUUUCAAAACAGAAUUUUUCCACCACAAUUUGCAACAAAAUCCUAAUCUUUCCAAGAAAUAUACACACGAGCCAUAAUAUCAAGCUUUAAAGCACUAAAAUCUAUCAACAAAAUUUAUCAUAAAAGCACAAGAAUGAAUCUCAAGUCCUCUACCUAGCUUGCCAUGGAGACACAAUAAAAUUUUCCUCAAGUCCUCUACUUAAAUCAAGAUUUCAAAGAAACCCAUCAAAGAUUUAAUCUUUCAAGCUACAAGUCUACUAGAAUCUAGUCCACAAUUGCUUGAAAACAAAAGAGUGAAGUAGAUUAGUCACUUACCUCUUCAAAGUUUCAAACCCUAGCAAGAUUAACUCAAGGUGAUGGUAAGAUCAACACUUAGGAGCCUCUUUCUCUCAAGAUCUUCCAAAGGUGCAAGUAGAUUGGUGGAAGGAAAGUUUGGAUCUUCAAAAUUUUCAAGAAGGAUGAAAUUUCUCUCCCUCUCUUCCUCUCUCAAGUUUCGGCCAACCAAGAAGAAAAAAUGAAGGUCUUUUGGUUGUUUUUGGAGGUAAUAUACAAGCCACAAGAAGGAUUUGUAAGGUCAACUUUGAAUAGUGUCCAAUAGUGUCUUCCACUUAAGCUUUCUUACUAUCCACCCUUAGCUCCUCUAACCUUCUUUUAACUCCCAAAAUCUUUCUUAACUUUACUAAUGUCUCAACUUAUAUUCUCCUAGGGUUUCGGCCAAAUUCACCAAUAAGUCGCAAAAUCAACAAUUUUCAAGAAUUUAAUCGCUCGAAAGUUAAAAUGAGCAAGUAAGAGAAACUUUUUUAUCAAUUAACAAUUAAAACACUUAAUGAAUGCAAAUUUUGCAAAAAUAUAAAUUAAAUAGAAAUGCAAAUAGUUGGGAGGUGAGAAAAUAAUUUUGCUGGGUCAUCACAUUGAAGACUGCAAAACAUAAUAAAUCAUUAGUUAGAAAUAUCAAAAUCUUUUAUGCUAUGUAUAGUGUCAUUUGGAUAGUGUGGCUAUUCAACCAAAACAAAUAAAAAUUUAAAAAAAUACAUUAUUUAAAACAAGCAUAAUAUCUAGAUAUAUGUCAAUAUCUAUGUAAAAUAAUUACUUCCAAUAAACUAUGAUACUGCAUAUCAUACUCAAUAGGCAUUACAUGGGCAGCUCGCGUGCAAGCUAAUCAAAACAAAUAAAAAAAUUAGAAUCGUAAUAUAAAAUAGUACACUAGUAAUUAGUUAGUAAAGUGGUAACAAAACAAAACCUCAUCAUAUAAUAACACUGGUGGCGUUACAACUAUACUACUUGAAAAACUUUAGUCCCUAUAUUCUUUUUCUGGUAUCCUUUUAUGAACUACUCUUCAAUCCCUUACUUGAAAUAAUUUUAAUCUUUAUUGUAAUACCCUUAAUCUUGAUAUAGUUGUAUCUGCAAUAUUGGAAACCUUUGUUACACUUGAAAACAUAUUGAUUAACUUCUUAUCAUGUACUUUUUCACUAACUAAAUUCAGCAUUUUUAUAGGUCCUUCUUAGCAAUUUUAUAGGACUAUUCUAUCACUGCAAUAUAUAGAAUCUGUACAAAUCUUUAUAUUGCUUUGUAAAGAGUACUUUUCAAUUCAAAUCAUCAUUGAUGGUACCAAAAAAUAUUGUCAAUCUUGCUUUUGCUUUGUUAAUCCAUCUCUUUAGUAUAUACUCCCUCCGUCCCAAUAAAUUUGACGCUCUUCGAAAACCAUGUCUUUUAUCAACAGUCACCUGAUUUUGCUUGGUUUCCUUUCGUAUCUCUAUUCGUAGCUAGUUUAUGGUGAAAGAAUGAAUGCAAUUGUGGGCUCUUAAUUGCUUUGUUAAUCUAUUGAUAACCAUUUGAAGUGUACGUAGCUUCACACCCUAGAGUUGUCAUUGUUUCCUGCAAAGAACGCUCGCUAUUUUAGCAAUUUUGGUAAAGAUGAGAUGUAUCACUUGGGACCCAUAAUAAUUAUUAAAACCUCUCUUGACCAUGUGAACAAAGGGCAAUGCUUGGAAAGAUACUAAAGUUAUUUAUCCAAUUUUAGUAAGAUGACAUAAUUUUGGAACGGACCAAAAAGGAAAAUAUAACACUUUCAAUGGGAUGGAGAGAGUAUUGAUUAAGGACUUUGAAAAUGUUUAUUGCAUUAAGAACUUUCAAAGAGUAAGAGCACAAAAUCCCAAAGAAUUCAUACCUUUUGCAAUUAUAAGAAAUCUGAUCACCUUCUGAAUCAAAUCUAAUAACAUGGUGGUACUUCUUGUUUUCGGGAAUGAUUCUAUAUUCUAUUAUUGUUUCAACUUUGCCAAAGAUAUCUAAACUACAAUCAUGAAAUUUGCCCUACUCAACUUCAAAUCAAAUGAAAACUUUAGAAGUGUAAACACAGGUAACUUAUUUCACAAUAUCAAUAUCAAAUGGUAAAAGUAGAGCGUUAGUUGUAAGGAAUCAUAGAGACAUGUACAGAGAAAAAUUUUAAAAUUUUUUAUUCCUUUAAUAGAUCGACCUCUGAUUAAACCUGUGUAAUAUAGAGUUAUUUAAGAAGAUUAUCUCAAUUCAUGGAGAUCUUCUUGAAUCAAUGGAGAUCUGACACAGAGGGGGCAAGUGAUCCAUAGAGCCACACAACUCUCUAACCUGGAAUAGUGAUCUAUGCAAACCUCUUUAGCUAGAACCUCUUUAGGUCGAAUUAGUUUAAACUAGAUUAGUGCUAACUAUUGCCAACACACCUCCCACAAGUUGGUUGAGAAAAACUCCAGUUUUUCACCAUGAAAAACUUGCCCCAGUAAGAGAAAUAAGAGAUGUGAUUUUUUUCUUAUUUUCUUGGAUGAAUUUUGGGAAUUUUCUCUCAAUUUUCUCAAAAAUUUCACAAGGCAAUUUAUGUAUCAAUUAGUCUUGCUAGCAAAAGUUUUUGUGAAUAUUUAUACACAAAUAAGUUGUCCAUAUCCUUAUGAAAACUUGAAACCAUUAAUACAACUCUUGUAUUUGAAAGAAUUAAACUUAUUUAUAAUAUGAAUCCCUCAAGUUUAAUUUAUCUCACAAAUUAAAUUACAAGUUAUAAAAACUUAUCUAUCAAGUCCUUAUUUGAAAUUCAUUUAAUCUAGUUAAAAAGUUCUUAAUGUGUGUGACCAUUAGAUUCUCAUAUAUGUUGGCAAUAGGUAUGAAUUAUAAUUCUUAAUAAAUAAGAAUUAGAUAAAUUCAAACUCCUUUUAAUUUAUCAUUGAUUCCACCAAUCAAUCAACUCAUACUUAUAGAUCAAGAUUGGUAUCUAGCAAUGUAUCAUGACCAUCCAAGCAAUGAGAAAAGUCAAGUGGAUGACUUUACCUUUCAGUUUUCGUGUAAUUAAUAUCCUUUUACCAUAAUUAUCUCACAUUAAUUUUGGAAUAAAUUGUGCCUAUUUCAAUAUGUGAUUAAUGUUCAUUUCUUGUACCAAAAUAUAACUCCAAUGAAGAAGUAUUUAGAAACACUAUCUAAGACUCGUUCACUUUGUGCUAAAAUUCAGAAUUAUACUUCUACAAGUGGCCAGACACGAGAUAACUCCUCUUUCAUAAGAGGUAAUAAAUCCUUAUAGGUUUAUUCACCAUCUUUCCAUACUUCAAGUAUAUUCCCAUUUGCUAAUGAUGUGAGCAUUCCCUAUUACAAGAGCAAUCAUAUAAGAAAUAAAGUAUAAUCGUCCGUAUUCAAGAUACCAUGAUAAUCUUAAGUCUAAGAAUCACCUACACAAAUGUCACUUACACAUUAAUCCUUUGGCACUUAAAGGGUAUCUCUAUGUGGAUCAAUCUAAUGAAUUUGAUCAUCCUAUCAAGCACCCAUACACUAGUUUAUAUGUCUCACACACCAUGGUAGAUGAAAUCUACUACUUCACAUAUAAAAGUGGCAUAAUAUAUGCUAAUCUAACCAUAUUAACAAUGAUCUUUCUUGUUAAUACUUUGACUAGAGAUACUUAAGAAUAAAUCUUGUCUAUAAUUGAAUGAAUCUAACCAUCAUAACUCUUAUGAUUUUGUCUAUUAGGUUUACUCUAAGGGAUUUAUCAUACUUAUAUAAAUAUGUAAACAAUUAAUAUGAUAAAGAUAUCAUUUAUUAUAACAUAAAUAGCUCAAGUGCAUAUUAAACCCUAAAACUUGAUUGAUUUUAAGGCAUAUGCACUUUCAAUCUCCAACUUGCACUAAAACUAAUCACUCAUAAGUCGAAGACCAAAUGAACCUACAUGACCAUCAUAUUUCCUUUAAGAUAAAUUUUAGCAAAUGGAUCAAACAUGGCAUCAUCUAUGGGUACUCUUUCUAUCUUCACUUUGUUCUUACCAAUAAUUUCACCAAAUCAUGUAGUAGCACCUUAACAAGUCUAUGGAUUUAUGAAGAGACUUUGGUUCCUUUGCUAAGGCAAAUUUUCAUUAUUGUCACAAUAUAGGAUAAAGGACUUAAAAUGGAGAGAACCAAUCCAAGUUCCUAGUUGAACUUGCAGAGCCAAAUGCUUCCCUUUUGCCACUUCUCAAGCAGCAACUUGUUAAAAUCUAAUUGUAAAAACUUUAGUUGUGUUCGCUUAAAACUCUUUCAACACACAACACCAAUAUUAUAAAUAAAUGCACAAUUACUUACAAAUUAUCUUAUCUUUAUAAGAUAGUUUGCUUGCAUAAUCUCGAACUUCCAAUCUUAAUUCUUCAUGGACCAAAGGAGACAAUAAAUCUAGUACAUUAAAAGGAUUAUUUCAUACAAUAUAGAUAAAACCCUUUUUAGAUCAUUUCAUGUUAAACGUCUUUAACAUCUUAUCUAUGUACUUUGAAAGGCUUAGCAAUCAUGAUCUAUUACUAUAGAUCUUUUCUCCUAAAAAGAAAAUUGCUUCUCCUUAAUAUCAUGGAGAGAAUCUUGGAUAGUUAUAUCUAUAGUUUUGGAGUAUAGGUAUACCUUUUUCAUGUAUCAUAUGACAACCACAUAUAUAACAAGGAAACUAUAAUAGCUCCCACUAUAUUAUACAUUAACACAAGACCAAUCCAUAUUUUUGAUAAAAUCAAACUCUUUGAUUAUUUCAUUAAAACGGAUGAUACAACUCUUGGAGACUUGCUUUAUUGGUAUAUAAGAUGUAGAAACCACUAAAUUGUAUCACAUACACAAAUAUUUAUUGUUUCCAUUUAAGAAAAGUGGUUUUAACAUCUAUUUACCAUGCUAUAUGACAAGUAGAUAUUUUACGUAUUUUUAGUGUGUUUAUUAGUUAAUUUUGGUGCGUUUUAUCUAGUUUUAUAGUUAAUUAACUAGGGUUUUGGUCAACAUAUGCAUUUAGUGGUUUAAUUGGCAAAAAUUGCAUUUCUAUGGAUUUUAAUGGUAAAACUUCAUGUUUUUGUAGAUUUAAGGAUUCAAUCAUCAAUUGGAGUGAAUUGAGAAGAGAAUUGGAUGAUAAUUGAUGAUUUGAAGUGGUUUAAAGAAGACAUGAAGUGCAAAACAUUCAAAUGAAGAAAUGCAAGGGAAGAUAGUUUUGACACAUCGUCGUAUUUCGGCUAUAUCUUGAGCUACAUAUAUUGGAUUGAGGUGAUCUUUAUACCAUUUUGAAGCUAAAAGAUAGAUCUACAUUUGAUAUGAAAAUGGCUAGGCCGCCAUUUCCGUUUCCGUUUUGCCGUUUCCGCACUUACAUGUGCCGAUUUUACCGUUUUGCUUGUUUUAGGCAUAUUAGUAGCCGUUUAUGGUAUUUUGUGACGCAAUCUUCUAUUUCAGACGGUGGUGAGCUACGUGGAGCCGGUGGGGCCUACUAGCUACUCUUCGCGGCACAAAUUUCGAAUUUUACUCUUUUGCUCGUUGUGUAAGUAUUCAGGCCGCUUUUACGUGUUAGUUGUUUAUGUGUUUUGAUAAGUAUGAAAAUGGUACCUAGGCGAGGGUGUACUUUAUCGCACUCGACCUAAACCCUAGUUUGCGCACAUAUUUGUACAUGGCUUGUGUAUAUGAGCAAUUUUGGAACUAAACCCCUUGAGCUUGUGGCUCGGGGUGACUUUUGAAAACAUUUUGUGAAGUUUGUGAGUUUGGGGCCCGAUCUCAAUCCUAGAUGGACUAUUGGAGCCGGUUAGGGCUUGGUCGAAGUCAGUCCAACCUGGUUUGAGGUCACCAAGUUUGUGAAUCCGGUUCACCGAUUAUGUGGACCAAGUUUGUGAACCGAGCUUGUGAACCAAGCUCAAUUUCGUUCGCUCGAGCAAGUUUGUGAGGUGCCUGGCCAGAGAGGGUGAUAAGGUGUACGGUGGGAGUAUAAGUGAAGUUCUACGGACCAUUAUUUGAGGUCGACGGAGUGUCGGCAGGAGGUCACACACGGCAAACGAUCUGGCUUUGGAGCCACCUGUAUCCUUAUUAUGUGAUGUUAUUUUUCUGCUUUUGCUUUACUCUUACUGUGUAACUGUUGUACGUGAAAUUUAUGCUUUCGCCCCUGUUUACUUACUAAGCAUAUAGCUUACCCCUUCCCUUUUGUUUUCCUUAGCAGGGGCCGACGCGGGGACUUUUGGCACGUACCCUAGCAUAGUUAGGUUUGAUUGUAAUAGUUGGACAUAGUAUGUUUGUUUUUGUUUUAGUUUUGGUGGUUUGUAUAAGGACCCUCCUUAGGGUCUACAUUUUGGUUUUGAUUGUAGUGAUAAGGAUGUAAUAGUGUGAGCAGGUACUUUUGGAGAAUGUAAUUAGAACUUUUGGGGAUUGUAUAUAAUGUAUAUAGUGCUCUUUCGAUUUCUCUAGUUUAUUACUUUAAGUUUUGAGUCCUGGCGCGAGCUAGGCAGGCGGCCCGCCGAUACCCUUGGGUUCGCCCUUGGGAGAAGUGGGGUCGUCACAUAGUUCAAGGGGUGGAAGAGUAAAAGAAGUUACUUCGAAUUUGAAGUGAGCACUUCACACUAUCCUUGUAGUUGUGACAACAAGUAUUUUAUGAAUUGGAAUGUUAUUUUACUAUAUGAAAAUUCGGAUCAUAUAUGCUAUUUUGAAUGGAACCUGUAUCGUGAUAUGCUCACUAUGAAAUGUGUUAUGAAAUAAAAUGAUACUAAUGUAAUAGACCAUUUAAUUAUGAUCCUGACUACACUCGACAGGACCAGGCCCAACUAUUGUGAUUAUGAAUGCGAAUUCGAACUAUCACGUUUCCCUAGUGGGGGUUAAACACUAGGCUGUGUACACAGAGACCGAUGAAGGCAUGAUCCUCUAAUUAAGUUAAAGCUUUUAUUUGGUGAUUGUUAUGAAUUUGAAUUUGAUGCAUAACUGUGUUUGCAAAUUUGAAUACAAGCCUAUGGUUCUUUUGUAACAGUUGGAGCUAUGAAUAUGAAGUAUGAAUUGUGUUGUGUGAGUGCUAAAUUAUAUGUAUAUGUAACGUGUAUGAUCUGGCAGGGAUAGUAGGUAGUACUUGCUGAGCUUGCAAAAGCUCACCUCCCCUUCUCACCCCAUUUUGCAGACAACGAUGGAGAAUAUGAGUUAGUGCUCGUGGAAGAAGAGGAAGAAUAGAUGGCCAAUGGUUGGAUGUUGUUAUAGUGGUCAAGCUUAUGAGUUUAGAAGCGGGGAUUUAUUUUUUUUAUAAUCUAGUCAUGUCUGAGGGAUUUUAAUAUGUGGCAUUAGUCCACAAGUGGACAAGUUUGACUUUUGUUUUCAUGAUUCGUUUACUCCUUAUGCUAGUUGAUGUAAAGCGUGGUUCUAUUGGAUUUUUUUUGGAAAGCAUAUAUCCCAGGUGUUGUUUGCAAGGUUGAGUAGUAAAGUAAGAUGCCUUGUGAGACUCCAGGGGGGGUUUACUCCUUGAGUUUCACGGCGUGUUGCAUUCCAAAUCAGGUGGUCGAUUUGGGGCGUGACAAACAAUGUUCCAUUCGUUAUAGUGAGGUGUGUAUUAGUCUCAACUGGGGUAUAAUUGGACUCAUCAUUAGUUAAGCCAACCCAAGCAACGAGAUCAAAGAUAUUUGGCUCGGAAUGGAUGACAACUAUUUGAAUGUGUGUAUGCCCUAAACUUAAUCAACUUCUAGGGUUUAGUAUGCAUUUGAUCUAUUUAUGUUAUAAUAAAUGACAGCUUUAUCAUAUUGAUUACUUAUAUAUUUAUAUUUGUAUGAUAAAACCCUUCCCAAUCAAUGAAAUCAUAAGAGUUAUGAUGGUAAGGUUCAUUUGACUAUAGAUAAGAUUUAUUCUUAUAUAUCUCUAGUCAAAAUAUUAAUAUGAAAGGGCAUUAUUAUUAUGAUUAGACUACCAUAUAUUAUGGCACUUCUAUAUAAGAAGUGGUAGACCUCAUUUACUGAGUAUGUGAGACACCUAAACUAGUAUAUAGGUGUUUGAUAGUAUGAUUAAAUUUAUUAAAUUGAUCCACAUAGAAAAAUCUUUUUUAAGUACCAAAGGAUUAAUCUCUAAGUGACAUUUAUGCAAGUGAUCUUUAGAUUUAAGGUUAUUGUAGUAUCUUGAGUAUGGAUAGUUAUAUCUUAUUUGCUAUAUGCUUGCUCUCAUAAUAGGGAAUGCUCAAUCAUUCUCAUAUGAGUAUAUACUUGAAGUAUGGAAAGAUGGUAAAUAACCUAUACAGAUUUACCAUCUCUUAUGGAAGAUAAGUUAUCUCAUAUCUGGCCACUUGUAGAAGUAUAAUUCGGAAUACUUAGUGCUAAGUGGAAGAGUCUUAAAAAGUGUUUCUAAGUACUUUUUCAUUGGAUUUAUAUUUUGGUACAAGAAAUAAGCAUUAAUCAUAUACUAAAAUUGGCACAACUUAUUCCAAAAUUAAUGUGAAAUAUGUGUGGUAAAAAGAUAUUAAUUACAUGGUAAAUGCUCACUGAAAGGUUAAGUAAUUUACUUGACUUUACUCAUUACUUGGAUGAUUAUGAUGAAUUGUCAGAUCCCAAUUUUGAUCUAUAAGAAUGAGUUGAUUGAUUAGUGGAAUCAAUGAUAUUCUUAUUUAUUAAGAAUUGUAACUCAUGCUCAUUGCUAACAUACAUGAGAAUUUAAUAAGUUACACACAUUAAGAACUUCUUUAACUGGAUUAAAUGAAUUUCAAGUAGAGAUUUGAUAGAUAAGUUUUUAUAACUUAUAGUUUAAUUUGUGAAGCAAAUUGAACUUAGGAGACAUAUAGUGCAAAUAAGUUUAAAUCUUCCAAAUACAAGAGUUGUAUUAGAAUAAGAAAGCUAAAUUAUAUUAGAAAUUGGUUCUGGUUUCUAUGAUAAUAUGGACAUUUUAUUUAUCUAUAAAUACUCACUAAACUUUUGUUAACAAAACUAACCCAUAUACAAAUUAUCUUAUAAGAUUUUUUUCAAAAAUCUUGAGAGAAAAAUAUCCAAAAUUUGUCCAAGAAAUAAGAAAAAAACGUGUCUCUCAUUUCUCUCACCUGUGCGGGUUUUCCUAGUGAAAACUUAGGGUUUCUCUCAUACGAUUUGUAUAAGUUGUCUUAGUCAUAAUUAACACUAAUCUAGUUUAAGUUAAUUUGAUAGGAAGUUCUAGUUAAGGAGAUUCGUGUAAAUUACGUCAGAGGUUGGACAUUUGUGCGGCUACAUAGAUCACUCUGCUCUACAUCAAAUCUCUACCGGUGUUAGGAGAUCUUCAUGGGUUGACAUAAUUUAUUUAAAUUAACUUUAUGUCACAUGAAUUCAAUCAAAAUACGAUAUGCUAAAGGAGUAGAAAAUUUUAAAUUUUUCACUAUGCAUGUCUCUAUGAUUCCUUACACUAUUACCAUGAGAUGAUACCUCAAGACUAGCGAAAUAGUUGAGAGAUUCAAAAUCGCUCAUUUCAAAUGUUGAAUAAAAUAUUGCUUAAGUUGCUGAAUACCACCCAAAUUAUCACCUGUGAUAAUUAUAUCAUCAACCGAUGGAAGUAAAACAUAGUCUUGCAUGUUGUUUGUUGAAUGAAAAGAGCAAAAUCAUAAGAAUUGGAAGCCAAGCCUUAAUUAAGAAGUGCAUAAUUAGAUUUUGCAAAUUCAAUAUGAGCAGCUUGUUUAAGUAUAUGUAAUGCACAACGAAGGCAAUAGUUGGAAUACUGCUUGAGUUGGCAUCUCUCCACCUUCACCACAUCCAUGCACUUGGCGCUCCUACUGCAUUGUCCAUAUGGCAUUUUGGACUUCUCAUGUUGGGCGUAAAAAUUUAUUUUCUAAUGAAAAAUUAGGAAUAUAAUGUUACGUCUCAAAUUUGGGUCCAUAAACUAAAUUUGUAACGUGGCACGCCGUACUUGCAAGACCUUACUCCCACAAAUACAAUGCAUCAUGAUCAUAAUUUAUAAAAUUUAUUAAAAUUUAAAUUUAUAAUUUCUCCAUAAUGAUAAGGUCACUAGUCUUAACAUUAAUAAAUAUUUAAAUCUUCAGUGCUAUUCUAAAUAAUCCUACCUAGAAAAUUUCAAACUCUUAAAAUUUAAUACACCCAUCAGACUAUUCAUCUCUCUCUUAUCUUCAAACAUGCAUGAUAUUACUUUCUAGAUUUGUAAGAAAAAUAUUUAAAAAAAUAUAAGUUUAAUGAUAUACGCUUUGACUCAGUAAGUAGUGCUUACACCCCUACUGAAUCAUAUAACUAUAUACAUACUAUAUAUUUAUAAACUUGGUCACAUAAUAUUGCAUGCAUAUCCCAAUUUGAAAACAUUGGCAUCAUUUCGUAAUCAUUAAGAACUGAAUUGCAUAAAACACAUAACAUAACAUGAACAUGAUCAUGGAAAAUCUUGGUAAAUCAUGUAACAUGUCUAUAACAUCAUUUAUUCUUAUAACCAUAUAGCUCAUAAACAAGUAUAUACUAUAUCCGCCUUCUAAAUAUCCAACCUUUAAAUUAACUCCUUCUAGGAGGGCGACCAAGAAGUAUUGCGAACACUACUUGACCACAUAAAACAACAUGAGUGAAAGGCUAGACAUACUGCUCCAAUUGACUAUACAUAAACGUAACAAACUAUAGCCCCUGCUAUCUAUUUUAUAACUGUUUAAAGCUUAAUAUAACAUAAAUUCAUUUUGUAUAUCAUAUGCACAAUCAUUUUAUUUGAUUAAACAUGCCUCUCAUUCAUAUCUUGUAAUAAAAGAAAUAGAGUCAAUUAGACCUACAUGAUCCAUUUUUAUAUACUAAUAAUAGGAUUUUAUAAGAGAAAUUCAUAAUUUUGGUAUUUGAAAAAUAUAUAAGUACCGCCUAACUCAAAUUACUCGCUUGAAGAUAUCUUAACUUACCUUAAUCUUGCUUUGUAGCGACUUGCUUCAUAGCAAAUCACAUAUGUACCUUGAUUAGUUCAUAUCUCUACUCUUAACAUAUUUAUUCCUAUCUUAAAUAAUCCUUAAAAAAAAAAAAUUUAAACCUUCUAUAAAUAGUACUUGAAAAGAUUUCUCUUUCUGAAAAGUUUCAAAAUUUAGAAAAUUUCCUUUUUGGGAAGGUUCGGCCUUUUGGGCAGACUUCCCUUUUUAGAAAUUGUCUUAAUUCAAUUAACCUAUUUAUUUGUUUAUUUAUUUAUCUAUUUAAUUGUUUAUUUAUCAGUUUAUGUAUUUAUUUAUCUACUUUUGUACAAACAAGCCCAUAUUAGUUGGGUUGGAUCUAAGUUCAGGUUUGGCUCUAAGACUAAGCCUAUCCAUGAAAUAGAUUUAUUUUUUGUUCAACUUGGGUUUAGAGAUUAAUUUGGACUUUUAAAACUAUUCCUAAUCCUAUAUUUAUUUGGCAACAUUGGAUUAUUUAAUUAAAAAUGGGUUUUUCUAAAACAAAAAUAUAUUGGGCUAGACCUAUUAAAAUAAAAGUCGUAAUAAGGGCAAAAAACCUUGUUAGUCAUUAAACUAUUUUCUACAUUAACUUUUGACCAUAAAAAUAUUUUUGUCUCAAUUCAAUCACUUAACAAACUAAUCAAUAUAUUCAUGGUUAUUUCAUCAGAUUUUACUCUUAAUUUACAAAAUAAAAUGAACACGCACAACUCAUGUGUCAAAACCUAUGAGUAUGUCCACUGAAUUUCUUGAAUCUAAUCUAAAAGCCCAAACAGCCACUAAAUUAUUCCGCUUGUAUACUUUUGGCUACUCAAAUAUUUUUUAUUUUAAUAUAGUCACUAAACUCUUAAAUCGGUAUGCUCUUGGUGAUUCCAUCAAAAUUUUUUUGGUAGGCAUGAAAUUUUGUCAUUAAUGCUAACAAAAUGAGCUCCAUGUGCGUUUCAUGUGCCACAAAAUAGGGGCAAUUUUUAGGUUUUCUUCCAUCUAGAGUUUUAGAUUUUCCAAUUAACAAGAAUUAAAAUUUAGAAUCUAUAAGAGUUUCUUUAAUAGAUUCUAAUUUAUAAUUUUUGACAGAAAAACUAAAUUAUAUACUCAAAUUCUUGUGAAUUAUUUGCAAGAAUCCUGAAAUUAAAUGAAAAUAGUAGACAAAAUUGGAAUAAAAGAUUGCUAACAGUAUACUGUUUGUAUAGUUCAAUGGCUAUUUAAAUUUUUGUCUCAUUUAUUUGGACAAAAUUAUCCAUGGUCUUUGGCAUGUGCAUUUGAGUAGUGCACAUGAAACUCAUUCUGUUAGAGUUAACACUGAGUUUGGAUGGAAUGGCUACUAUUAUACACAUUUGUGAGUUGAGUGGCCAUUUUGAAUCAAAAAGUAAUUGAGUGGUUAAAAAUAUACAAGCACAAUAGUUUAGUGGCCACUAAGGAUUUUUGCCUUCUGGUUGAGAAGUUUAGUGGACAUAUUUACCAUUAAAUUUGGACAUGUGAAUUGCACGUGUUUGAUUUAUUUUGUAGAUUAAGAACAAAAUUUGACAAAAUAGCUACGAAUGUACUGAUUAGUUAGUCGAGUGAUUAAAUUUGAACAAAAAAUAGUUUGAUGGUCAAAAGUAGAUGUAGGAAAUAGUUUAACAACCUGCAAGAAUUUUUGUUCUCCUAGUAAUAAAACUUGGGUUUUAAUAAUCGUAUUGGGUUUCAUGAUUUUAGGCUCAAAUAAUAGGCACGAAAUAAAAUAUUAUAACUUUGGUUCUUAAAGCCUAGAAAAUAAGUUUUAUUUCAUUUGUUUAAAAACUUUAUAGGCCCAAUAUGUGACAGCCCCACCUCCCCCUAAGGCGAACCAAAGGGUUCGGCGGACCGCCUGCCCAACUCUCGCCGGGACUCACUGCAGUUCUCAAAUAAAAUUACAUCACUCACAUCCAAUAACAUAGGGUACAACCUCAAUAAUAAACGAAAUAACAUUUCCCAAGCUUAGAACGGAUACUUACAUACAUUACAAAUCUCAAGUAGUGGUACAAUUCUCCGAAUAAAACCAAAAGUUCUCAAUUCUCAAAUCAAUUACAAUUACAAUAUCAGUCUCAAAUAUUACAUCAAAUACUCAUCAAGUAAAUCGAAUUCAAAUUAUACAUGAGAUAACCCUUCAGACACACUAAUAACUUAUCACAUGCGCUUCCUUUGUCUCGAGCCCUGUGGAGGGGGAAAAAAUAUAUUUUGGGGUGAGUUAGAAGCUCAGCGGGUAUCCAGUAAAAAUCAAUAAUCAAGUACAUUUCACAAUAAUGCAUUUAGAUGAUGUUCAUGAAUCAGUGAUCAAAUGUAAGUUUAUUGCCCUUAUGAGCCACUGAAAUCAUCGUACUUAGAACUCCAACGCUCAAGCGGAUCAAUUAACAAUCAAAUAGUAAUAGGGAGCCAUCGGUGCUCCAAAUAAACAGUGGUGGAGACGUUGAGUUUAAGCACAAGACUUCCCAAGAACUCAUUGGAUCCAAAUCAUUUCAUGAUACACAUGCAAGCACUCAUGAUAUGCAAUCGAGUAAGCAAUGCAAGAAAUAGUUCGGAAGUAACUUUGGAAAUAGUUUUGGGAUCACUCACCAACCAUAUCUCAUGAGCCUCGUCCAUCAUAGACAGUUUCCUCGAUCAAGUCCAAGCCCUUUAUUUCUACCAAGAAUUAACUCAAACUCAAAGCAAUCAAAUUCUCUCCAAGAUUGGACAGCACUUCCCCGUAAUUUCCUUGUUUUUCAUCCUACAAUACAUCACCAAUCCCAUCGCAAUUCCACCACAUUUUCACAUACAAAUCAUAAGUUAUAAAACACACCUAAUUAGGGCCACAAUACCCUUAAAUCUUAACCAAUUAAGAGCUCAAUAACCAACCAUAAGAAAGCCCCAAAUUUGAAACCCUAAAACUGAAAUUUUCCGCACAAAUCUGAAAUUUUCCGCAAACAACCACAACUAACACACAAAGGCGCCAUUUGACACCAUAUCAAGCUAUCAUCCCAUGACCAACCAACAAUUAUCAUAUAAAAUCAAAAAAGUCACUAAUAAAUCAGCAAUUUGUCAAACUCUAUUUAAAAUCAUGAAAUCAUCCAUAAUAUAGCAUAUAUAACAUCUCUAAUCCACCAAUUAAUAAUCAAUUGAAGUAGAUAAGAAGUUCUUAGCAAGAUACCUUCAAAUCUCAAGAAAAUUGGUAGCUUAGUGGUUCCUCCUCCAAAACAACUCCACCAAUAGUUUUAAACCUCCUUAGUGAGCACUUGUAUGGAAUAGAUUGCAAAACUAACGGUGAAAUCUCAAGUUUUGGUGAAGGAAAUCAAAGGAAACAAAAUGGGGUUUUCCUCUCUUGUUCUCCCUCUCAAAAGGUUCGGCCAAGCCAAAGAAAGAAAUGAGGGAAAUAUCAGCCAAAAGCAAGAUAAGAACGUUGGAAAACAGCCGGUCAAACCUGGCUGUUGAGGUGCCACGUCACAAUCCGGCCAAGAUCAGGCCGGAUUUAGGGCAGUGGCGAAAACCAUUUUUUUUUUCAAAACCCACCAACAAUCCGGCCAAGAACUGGCCGGAUUUGGUACUAACUUUUUCCACCAAAAAUUUUCUUUUCUUCUUCUUUCGGGGCUUCACACAAUAAGUCUUUUUUAAUUAAUUGGUAACCAAGAAACUAGCAUAUUUAAAUCUACUAGGUGAGCCCAAUAGCAUCCUUACCCAUUGUUAGUUUAGUCUAAAAGCAGUGAAAUAAUUAAAUUAAAGCCCAAUUUACCGUAGACCCAAACUAGCCUUUAAUCAUAUAUAUAUAUAUAUAUAUAUAUAUAUAUAUAUAUAUUCCUAAACUAAACCCACGAUUUCAUGAGCUAACCAGACACAACUUGGCCCGUUUCUUUUUUAUCAAACAAACCAUUUAGAAACCCAUAAGCUUGACCCAUUUCAUUUUAAUAUUCCGACCCAUUUAAGUUUGACCCAUUUCCAUCUCACAACCCGUCUUGUCAACCAAAUGGUUUUUCUUUCACCAACCACAAUUUCCCCAAAUUUCAAAGCCUAACUUAUCAAAAUCCUAGCCGCCAUCACAACCUUCACCAUUAUCCACGUUGAUUUCUAUAUCCAAUUCACAACCUACAAUUUUAAAUAAAUUUUAUGGCCAGAAAGAGAAAAAAAUAAUAUAUUUUUAACAUAAUAUAUAAUUAUAUUGGUGAGCACAAUAUAUAUAUAUAUUUGAGAACUUUUUGGUGUAAACCUCUUGGAGAGCUCCCAACAUCCAAUCCUUUUUUCUUUGAUUUUGAUUACUUUAUUUUACCAAUAAUUCAAUUAUGUCUUCGGUUUGGAUAAGGCAUAAUUUCACUUACUUUCCAAAUUUUACAUGCUUCGAAUCAAGCCUCAUAAUAGUAACCCCUCAAAAAAUGCAAUUACCGAAUCAUAGCAAAUAUGAGCUUGCGUCAUGUUUGGAUGCGACAUAAUGUCUCACAGCCAAUAAUUUCAUGUACUCGACUAAUUUUUACAUAAUUCCAAACAAGCCUUAUGACGUGGUUUAGGUUUUCAAGUUAUAAAUUUCUAAUUAUCAAUUUAAUUUUGUCCAAUUAUCUCAAUUUUUCUCAAGUAUACGAGUCAAACAACUAUAGUGAUGAUUAGGGUCUAUCCCAUAGGAAUUUGGUUAAUUAACAAGGCUUUUCAACUAAUUUUAUUAUCUAAACAAAUGAAAUAUUAUCAAAGAACAACAAUGACAAAAUUAAAGAGAUUAAUUUAGAUGGUAAAACCAGCCAUACAAGUUAUAAUUAGUUAGGCAGUAUAACCUGUCAUAUAACAUAAAUAAUAAAUAUAAAACCACAUUAGGUGGUAAACCAACCAUGUAGGCGGUAAGUUAAAAGAAAAGAAACAAAAGUUGAGAGAGUUAGAUUAGGUUUUCUUAAUAUUAAGAUCCCAAGGAUUAGAAUCUCUUGUUGCUUCAAGAUAGUGAUUGACUUGGUUAAAUUAAACCUUUAACUUGUGGCUUGUUUAGGAAGUAACCACCCUUAAUUUCUUGGAUAUUGUUUUCACAAAUAAACAAGAAUCCUCACACCAAGCCUUUAUCUAUUUGCAUGAUAAAUUAACUUAACAUGAGUUCAUGAAUCUCAAUGAAAUUACACACACGUUCCAUCUAAAUCCACCUCCAACCAACGUGAAGAUGUAAUCUAGAGUUCAUACAUUUUGUACUAUACAUGCAAGGCACAUUAAUGGCUCAAACACAUGCUUGAAUGAUAUAUACUUGGUGAUCAAGCAACUACACAUAUUUGAUGCAAACAUAUGAACAAACAAGUUCACAAGGUGGCCAAAAUCAACUCAAGCAAUCACGCAAUCUUGAACUACAAGUUCAUCUUUUCCCUAGGGUGCAAGAGUUUAGCUGGACAUAGAAUUGAACAUAUUGAACAUAAAACUCUUGAAAUAAAACAUGAAUCAAACAAGGAAGUAAAGAGUAAAAGUUGAUGUAAUCUUAUUCAAGUGAAUGAAACAAGCUCUUCAAACUUCUUUUUUACAACCUUGAUCUUCAAGUGUAACACAACAAGGUUGUUUUGUUUUUAAGAAAACCUCUCUUUUUUUUACUCAUACAACCUUCUAUUCCAACUAUCACCCUCUAAUUCUUCAAUCCUUCAUCUUUAAAAUCAAUGAAUCACAAGGGGUAUUUAUAGAUGUUUAUGAAGAGAAAAAUGUACUCAUAAUGUGGUCAUAAAGUUGUCCUUCACUUUUUCAACACACACUUAGCUGUUUCCAAUUGAAUUUCUGCAGAAAUAAUGUUCAGAUAGCAGUGUGAAAAUAAGUGCAAGUUGCAGAACAACUUGCAUAAUUGGCUUAGGGAUCUAUGAGGCAAAUCGGUGAGGCAAUACCUCACGGAUCACCUCGUGGUUCUAUUUCUUUUCUCUUUUCAAAGCUUCAAAUGUGACAGUUGAUGAUCCAUGAGGUAUUUCCUGCUGUUAGCUCGUGUAUCUUGAACUUUUGGAGUUGAUUUAUGACCUUGCAUUCUUUUUUCCAGAUAAUUGAACCCCUUGUAUGUUGAUCUUUGAAUCACCAAUGCUAGAGUGAUAUUCAAGUGCACUCAACUGCUAAACUAUCCUACAAAUGCCAUAUCAAUUGUACAUUAUACAUGUAAUCGAAAUAGAAUGAAGCUUAUAGAAAUUAAUAACUUAAAGAGCUAGUUUCAUUUUUAAAAAUCCUAAAUUUUUAACAAAAGUAUGCAAAUAAAUGUAUUUUAAAGCAUGCAAAAUGAACACUUAUCAAAUUGCCCCACACUUAAAUCAUUGCUUGUCCUCAAGCAAUAAGAAAAACCAUACAACAAUGAUUUAACAAUUAUUGUUGGAAGAAUCAUGGAAGGAUCUGUGCUUUCCUUUGGAAGAGGGCAGGUUAGGUUUUAGGUCUUUUAAUGUUGUGUCUGAGACUUAUUCCAUGAAGUUAUGGGUAAGACUGAGAUAAGGCUCCUUACCAUGGGCUGGAUUCAUGCAGCAGAAAUACUUCCAGCAUGUCCAUCCGAUGCUGGCAGACAGUACUAGAGGGUCUUUUACUUGGCGAAGGCUUUGUAGAAUAAGAGGCAUUGCAGAGCCGCACAUCUUUUGGAAACUUGGGGAGGGAAAAGUGGAUUUUUGGAGGGAUAAAUGAGCAUCAUAUGAACCUCUGUGGUCUCGUUGUCAAGUGGAGUCUUCCCCACUGUUCAAUGUUGCGGACUUUCUUGAGGAUUCUAGUUAGAAGGUGAGUUCGUUAAGACAGUGGCUGCCUUCAUAGGUAGUGUCGAACAUCUUGGAGAUACCGGUGCAGUCUAAUGGGUGUGAUGUGGUAAUUUGGAAUGCAUCUUCGUCGGGGCAGUUCACAGUCAAAUCGGCUUAUGAGUUGAUCCGAAGCAAAAGAAACUCCCUAAUUGUGUUACGAGCUAUUUGGCAUCAACUUGUGCCUUUAAAGUUCUCCUUCCUUGCUUGGAGGAUCUGUAUUAAUUUUUUGCCAGUGGAUGCGCACCGAUAGAGGAAAGGGCUCACUUUAGUGUCAUGCUAUGAUUGUUACGCUUCGAUCAAGUCAACUCGGCACCUUUACUUCAGGGGACAGAUAGUAGAGGCUGUGUGGCAUUUUUUUUUUCACUCCAUGUUUGGCCUCCCUUAUAUGGUUCACUCAUGUUUCCAGGCAGUUAUGAUGCAAUGGAUUUUGUCGUCUCCGAAAGGUUCGACAGAGCAUAUACGUAGCAUAAUCCUGACAAUUGUAGUGUGGUUCAUUUGGAAAAGUCGGAUUGCAGCUAGGUUUGAGGGUGUACGAAUGAAUGCUAACUCUAUAAUAUUACAAGUUCAGCAGUUUUUGCAGCUUGUAGGUCGAUUCUCCUCUGUUCAAAGUGUUCAACUUGAAGGGGAUUUUACUCUGGACAUAGCAACCUUUUUCAAGAUACAACCUGCAAGAAAAAAGUGUGUUAUGGUCAUUAAGUGAAAGGCGCCACAACAGGGGUUUUUCAAAAUUAAUACAAAUGCUAGUGUAGUAAAUAGAAGAGUGGCGGGAUACAGAUGCUAGUAUAGUAAAUGGAAGAGAAGCGGGUAGAGGUGUAAUUCGGGAUCACUGCGAGAACGUCAUUACGGCCUUUUAUAAGGAAUUUGGUGAAAUGAAUGUCUUGGAAGCAGAGGCACGGGCGCUAGACUAUGGGUUGGAGGUUUGUCAGCAACAGAGAUUAUGGUAUAUGAUCACGGAGGCUGAAUCAAAAGGACUACAUCUCUUAGUUAUGUCAAAAUGUUCAACCAUGUGGCCGCUUUGCAAUGUAAUUUCUAGAAUAAAGAGGAGGCUGCUAGAACUAUAGGGAUCCUUGUCGUACAUUUUUAGAGAAGCAAAUGCGGUUGUAGAUGCGUUGGCUGGAUUUCAUCUCUCUGGGCAGUUAGCCUUUUAUUCUAUAUCACAAAUGCCUGCCCUAGCCAAAUCAUUAGUUCAUUUAAACAACUCUAACUUAUGUGUAGUUUGCCUACAAAAUGUAAGGGAGUAGUACUCCUGUUUCGUUUUCUCCUCUAGUUGUUCCUCUUUAAUAAAAUAUGGGGCUGGCAACCCCUUCCCGCAUACAGGGUUUGCUAACAAAAUAAAUAAAAUAAACAAUGUGAAAUUUUGAAAACACAACUCCUCAUCAUAACUUUGUAAAAUAUCAUUAUCCAUUUAUUCAAAUUGCCAUAAAUACUCAUAAUAUCAUAACUUUGUAAAAUAUCAUUAUCCAUUUAUUCAAAUUGCCAUAAAUACUCAUAAUAUAAAGUAAAAGAUAAAUAAUUAUACCCUAAUCUCAUAUCAAAAUUAAUCUCUCAGUCUAACUAAAUUGCAUAAGUAAAUGAAUCAUAUAAUUAUUAUAAGCUUUUUCUCUUCCAUAUCACUUUUUUUAUUUCAAGAGAGAUUUAUUCUUCUUAUAAUAGUUUUCUUAAAUUGCAAAGAUACUUUUUGACGUGAAAAUCGACAUUUUUAGAUGAAAAUCUCCGGUUACUCAACACCUCACUUAUUUAAGUUAUUUUAUAUACUCUUAACUUAAAUACCUUUUAUGCAAAGUUAAUAUUGGUAGAUGCUAACCCCCGGUUACUCAGUACUUAAAUCAUAAGAGUAACAUAAUUCUCUUUUUUUUUUGAAGAGUAAAAGUUGAUGAAUUCCCUCAAAAGAUUAAAAUGUAAGAAGAGGUUAACUCUUUUUAACUAUAUCAGCCAUUUACUUAUAAAAUCUAGUAAAGCAAAAAAUCUUGUUUAACAACAAUAAUUAUAGGCAUAAUUUUUCCUAUUUUACCAGAUAUACUUUCUAAACAUGCAAGGAUCCUAAUCGCAUAAUGAUGAUUUUCAAGUCAAAUGUGAAAUUGAUUUCCUUAGUCACAUAAAUUAUUUCAAAAUAUAGGAAAAAAAUUAAACUUAAAUAGUAAGGACUAAUGAGCUUUUUGAAAAAUUCUGAGCAUACUUUUGCUAUUGGGUACAAGAUUUUUAAAAAAAUUUGACAGAAUUUUCCCUUAUAAUCGAACGAAACUUGCUGCCAACAAACCCAAAUUUUGACAAAUUCAAACACAAAUAACUUUGUCAAUAUUAAGGCCAAAUUAUAACCAUCAAGAAACAGAAAAUAUCUCCUGCCACACUUAAAAUACACGUUGUCCUCAACGUGUGGGAAAGAUAAAAUGGUAAAAGAAAGAAAUACUCCCCAAAUGUCAAAAGAAUAAGUCUAGUGCAACCAUAAUUUCACGAACAUCCCAUCUACUACUUAACAAAUAUUGCAGAUAAUUUAGAAGUAGCACAGCAUGAGUUCCAACUAUCAUAAGUCCAUAAAACAAAAGAAAUACUACUAAAAAAUUAAAUAGGGAUAAUAGAAAGCAAAGUUGAAUCAAUUUCUCCAAAAGUGGUGGGGACACCCUUAAAAACCUUUAAUCCGCACUAGAAGGGCUGCAAGUGAAUGGUUGGCGUUGAGAAAUGUCCAAGUGAUCCUUGAUGCGACGUAUUCGAAUGCCGUGGCAUUCCAAACUAGCAUUGAUUUGAUCAAAAACAUUCCUCCACUCGAACUUGAAAACAAUUAAUCAUGUUGAAAAGGCACUACCAAUUUGAUCAGAAAGGAGAAGGUGAUAGUUGUGGUGCAAACGUUGAAGGACCAGUUUCAUUUUCAUUUCGUGGAGUGAGCAAAGAAGAUUGUUGAUCUCUAAUUUGGCUAGAUUCUGUAGGCCUUGACGGAUGAGGAAUAUUAGCAGCCCUUAUACUCAAUUCAUGUAGAGUAUAUUCGUUUGAGUAUAUUCGUUAAGCUCAUAAAUUGCCUUCACUUGCACCUUUUCCACGUCUUAUAGACGGAUUUCCUCUUGUUCAAAUAGCAAUGACAAGAGAUGCGGGAAUCCAAACCUAUACUUGGUAGUAUGAUGUCUCACUGCUGUUCUUAUAAAGUUAAUGAUGAUAUUGUGGAACAUGCGGUCCAAGAAGUAAAGAUCAUUGUUUCGGACUUCAUUGAGGCUACUCUUUUUUGGAAUCACAUUUCUUAAAAACAAGUAAAGGAUUAGCUGAUGGCGCGAUUGGAAUGCGCUAGCCUUGAGUGUAGAUCUUUGAAAAAUUCUAGUGUAUUCCAAAAUUUGCUCAAAGCAUGCCAUGGCAAAAGCAAGAUCCCACUAUUCAUCCGGUGAGUGAAAUUCCUUUUUCAAGUCAAUGGUCAGUCCUUCAUCGUUACACUCAAGAUAUGCUGCCAAUGUAUCUCGAGUGAUUGUCAAUUGCUUCCCUCGGACAUAAGACUUGAUGACCUCUCUACUGUGCCCACCUUUGUUCAUUAUAUUGGCAUAGAACUCCUUGACCAAAGUGGGAUAGAUAUGACUUGGAAAAGAUCAAAUUGGAACCUAACCAAGAAUGUUAAAAGCCUCAACAAUUUUAAACUCUACAUCAACCUCUGGGGCUACAUGCAUUUCAUAAAUGAACUCUCUCUACUUACAUGCCUCAAAUCAUUCUUGGUUCUCCUUUGAAGUGAAUCGAAUUGGAUCAUAAUCUAGAGAAACGUGCCAACUUGUUGAACAUCUUGUUGAUCGAGUCCUUAGCGGUGGAGAUGGAGAAGGAACAUUCUCUUCAUACACUUCUUCAGAUGAUGAUGAUGAUCGAAUAAUUGCUCGUUGUCGUCUAACCAUGGUACCUAUCACAAUUUAUCAAGGCGGAUAUAAGGUACUAGUAAACUUUAUUUCACAAUUAAAAGAUAAUUCACCUAAAUGAAUGCCUAAUAAAUGCAUAAGCACAUAAUAAAUUAGACUUUAAAAUACUUAUAGGCAUUCGUUUCACAAUUAAAAGAUAAUUCACCCAAAAUGAACUCAUCUAGGUAAUCAUCAACCCAGUAUACCAAAUCACCAAAUCAACAUUUAACCAUUGAUUAAAUUAAAUUACGAAGAAAUAUUCUUUUUAAAUGUAUGUAAUUUAACUUACCAAAUUUACCAAAUUCUUCAACCAUUAACAACUUAUCAUCAAAUUAUAUUUAUGAUCAAGAAUUAACACCAUUAAACUCACUAACUCCCUUAAAAUAACUCAAUUUCCUAUUAAAAUAGCCUAAACACAAUGUCUCAAAUUUUUCUUUAAUAAUUCACAAUUUUUUUCAACUGUCAACUUAUAAGUAAAACAAUCAAUUAUUCAUCAUUAACAAGUCACAUUGUAGUUCACUAACAUCUCCAAAUAAACACAUUAAUAUGCAAAAAUUUUAUUUUUUAAUUUAAUGCAAAUAUAGCAACUAAAAAAAUCAAUCAAUAACCAAUUAUGACAUUGCUAUAUUUAAAUAUUAAAGCAUCCCUAAAUAACUCUAAUAAUCAUUUAGGAAGCAAUAAACAUCAAUAAAGUUCAAUAAAAUUUGUCUAUUAGAAGAUGUCAGAAAACUCAAGAAAUUGAAAAAUAGCAACUUCUAAAAUACAAAGAUUUGAUGAAAAAACUUAUGUCAAUCAAGUAGAAUGAUGUUUGGUGAUGCAACUAAUGCCAAAACUUUCAAAAAUAUCACUAAAAAUAACUCCCAAUUGAGCAAAUUACAACUUAAGAAACCCUAGCUUCAAUGAAUUGAAACGAGAUUUUUGAUUUUUUUUGUGUUGAUUUUAAUCCAUAGAAAUAAGUCUAAACAAGGUUUACAGUGUUUAUCUAGUAAAGUUUGGCAAGAAAAACAAGUGAAAAUGGUGAUUUGUGAAGUGGGUGGUGAGUGUGUGUGUGGAUGCGGGAAGAGGUGAAGUAGGAAUGAAAAGCAAAGCUGCAAUUUUUCAUUUUUAAAGAAUUCUGGAGCAAAUCCGCGAGCUGUUUGUAACGAUCCCACCUCCCCCUAGGGCGUACCCUAGGGUUUAGCGGACCGCCUGCCCAGUUCUCGCCGGGACUCACUCACUUACUGAAAGAAAACAACUUACAACCAUAGAAAGGAAAUAAAACAACAAUUUCCAAACUUAAAAUAUAUAUUUGUACUUAAAUCCAGCUCCAAGGCUCAUACAUGCCCCAAAUGUGUCAAAUAUUCCAAAAUCCAAAAACAUCCAGCCCUAGUCAGGCAUUACCGUGAGCACAAUCGCAAAAAUUCAAAAACCAGACUUUGCUAGCCUGUACCAGUCCCCACACCCUUGCUCAUAUCCCUUGUAAGGAAAAAAAAUCUCAUAGAAUGAUCUAAAAUUCAGUGAGAUUCCAAAAUUUCAUGCAAACCCAAAUAGCAAGUUGGCCAUGAUUUAACAUCACAUGUAUCAAAAUAGCGAGCACAUGAAGUCAAGAAAAUGAGUAAUAAAGUUUUGUAAAGCCAAGCACUGGUUAUUUAACAUAUCAAGUGAAAGGAUACUGCGGCUAUUUCAAAAUAGCUCCAUCAUAGCUUGAUCAAGUAGUAGUUGACUCUCCGUCAACUUUCAAGUAGAGUAACCCGUCCAGUAGAACACCGCUUGACGCCAACCCGUCCACCAUUCAACCCCCAUACCGGGCCCGAACGUUCAGAUAAACACGAGUGGUAAUAAUACUCGAGCAUAUCAAUUAGUCGAGGAGGUAUCACUUCACUCGACAAAACAAGAGACCCAGGGUUCGUUAUCUAAUCGACCAGACCCUUUGCCGGCUCGACUCGAUUAACUAGUCUCAGGGUUUCUGAAAUUCCAGAGUACUCAUGCAUAAACAAGUAUAUCAAGUUAUGUGCACUCAAGGCACAGCAACAAGUCAUAUUUAGGACAAGUACGAUAAAAUACACCAUUGUCCGUUCAAACAAGUCAAAUAUUAUCCAAGCACAUUAAUAAAACAUGUAAAAACAAGUAUCAAACACAAACAUGCACUUGGAAGCCCUCACCAAAGGUCUAGUGCUUUUCAAGGUUACGUUCAGGUGCAACUCCUUGGAUGGAGUCCAAGUUUGCGAUGAAAUAUUAUGCAACAGUUUAAAAUCAACUGGGGUUCGAAACUUAAGCGUUUCGCUUAACGAAAAUCAAGUAACUAAAACUCAUUUGGGUAAUAGUCAUGUUACUUAUCAAACUCUAGAAAAUUCAUACUCGCUCUUUUGGUGUUACUAAAGAAGCAAUUAAAACUUUGGAAUUCACAUUUGAAUCUAAAAGACGAGGAAAACGUAUUUCUAUUGGUCAUUACUUUCACUUUUUAAAGGGUACAAGUUUCGGCCGAAUUCGGCUCAUAUACUUCUACUAACGGUAACUUGACUACCAUAGACAAUCUAAGUUCCCUUCGAUUUCAAAUCAUCACUCAACUCAACUUCACUCGCCUAAUCCUUGAGCGAAAAUUUGGGCGGCAUGCCCUUUAUAUUUCGCUAUUUUUCAACCAUUUAUGACUUCAUUAUUUUUUCCUCAACUCAUCCCAGAUUCAACACAUAAGCAAGCUUAACACAAUAACUCUUCAACUAGGCUCAAUGUCAUCCAAAUACAAGUCAAUUCUAGUAAUUCAAUCAUCAAGACCAAAGCUGGAAACUAAUAUUAAAGAAAAAUGUCUAAAUAACAGGUUUGUCAUCUUUCGGCGUUUUGAUCACAACUCAAGCUAUGCUUAUCGGAUUGGGGCAAAUUUUAUGGCAUUUUUAAGCUAAGACAUAAAACUAGAUUUUCUAUGAAGACAUCAACACCCAAUUCUCACAUUUUCAGGGUCAAAAAUUGACAUCUCAAAGAAAACAGAAAGCUGUUGGUGAAACAUGGCAUUUGGGCAGUCAAGGGUAUUUUAGUUAUUUCACAAGCUACAGUACUCCGAUUGAGUUAAAAUGUUGCAGGUCGAUAGUUAACGCAAUUCCCUAUAAUGUUCAUGUUUUGAGUAAGAGCUGAUUUGGCCUUUAUCAGGGACGAAUAAGCAGGUCAGAUCGGUUUAAAGAAACAGGGCAGAAUCUCUACCAACGCUGAAAUUCAACUUUUACUCUAACAAAGUUACACUCAAGCCCAAAAUCACUUCACAAGUUCCAUUUCCAACCUUAAUACAUCAUUUAGUAGUUAAACAAUACUAAUCAAAAUUGAAAAGAUGCAAACCCUAACUAAACAUGCCACUAUUCUAUCAAAACUAAACAAUCAACCAUCAUAUGCCAAAAUUACAAGCUUCUAUAGCAUUUUUAGCUAGAUUAAGUUAAAGACAAGAGGUGGAUGAACUUAUACCUUACCAAAGCCUUCUUGUAAGUGAAAAUAAACCACUCUCUUCCAAAAUUGUACCACACCAAACUUUCCAAGCACCAAAAGGUAAGUUUAAUUAGUUUAGUUUUUGUGAUUUCAACUCAACAAGAAAGAAUCAAGGUUGGAGUUGAAGUUGUUUUUCUCUCUUUUUCCCCCUCUUAGUUUCAACCAACAUGAAGAAGAAUGAAGGACAAAUGAAGCCAAUUUGGUGAUAAGAAGGAAGGAAAUUGGUUUAGUUAAAGUUGGUUGGAUUUCCGCCAAGUGUCGUUACAAGAUUAAAUCUCAAAAUUUCCUUUGCCCUCUCUACUUUUAGUCCAAAUUUUCAACUGUAUUAAGGAGAUAUUUAGGGCUGAUUUUGCUCAAUUAAUAACAAGAAAAUUAAGAUAACAAAGUAAUGUCCAAGUGGUGUACUCAAUCGGUAGCAAACGGUGCACGUCGGUUCAAGCCGAUUUUCCUUAACUCUCUCGUACUUGCGUUUUAACUUGUGAUUCACUAACUUAUUAUUAGUACUUCUAAUCACACAUUUUCUCUUACUUAAUAUUUGUUCUUAUCCACUAAAUUUAGUACACACACCUCACUAAGUGAUCACACUACCAAAAUGCACCAAAAACACACCAAAAACCCUAGUAUGCACAAAAAAAAACCCAAACUAAUGUCAUUCCUUUAGAAAAAUCAUAACUUGAGUUAUAAAUGUCAAACAUUCAUACAACUUGACCUGUUAAAAACUAGACUUAAAACACUACUAAUCUUUAGAAGACACCUCAAAGAAAUUCAGCUCAUAAGUUAGUCCAAAUUGAGCCAUAAAUUACUACAACAUUCCUAUGUUUACUUGUGCAGGGCAGAAUUUUCAAUCAAAUUUGCCAAUUUUUUAGAAUUUAUAGAGAUUGAAUCAAACUCUGAAUUUUCCACUGUAGGAAGUCCAAUGAGUCUAGUUUCAAACGCAACAAACGGAACUCAAUUCCGACUUUCCUACACGAAAUUAUAGCCAAUUUCCCAAAGCUGCGCAGAGUCUCCUGCGAAAAUUUCUAGAUUUUCUAACAACUUGACAUUAUGAAACUUUUCUUAACAAAAUUCACUCCCUUGGCUCAUAUUCAACCAAGAAUCUAAGGCAAGUAAGUUCAAAUAAGAGUUAUAAAGAUAAGUAAACUUUCAGGGUCUCAUACUUUCUCCCCCUUAAAAGAAUUUCGUUCUCGAAAUUCGAACCUUUACUCGCACAAAACUUGAUAUUCCAGUAUUUUCCUCCAAUUCCUAAGUGGCUUUCCCUUACUCAUAGUACUACCACAAACUUACCUAGAGAAAAAACGUAAUGGCUAAGUUGAUAUGCUAAGAAAGUUCAAUGAAGGCGUCAAAUUGUGCAAAGUGAUAUAAAUUUAGGAACUUGAUGAAAAGGAAAAUUCAUAACUAUGAAACUUGGUUACUACUCUUGCUAAAUCGUGAAAUAAAAUACUAUGCAUUGGCAAAUAAUCUCCAAAGUAUAUCUUCUCUCAUGACUACAAUUAAAUCUCGAGACAUGUACUACCCUUCACGCCUCUAUUGAAAAAACAAAAAUAGACUAUAGAGGUAUAAGCAAAACAAAGUAACUAUAAAUUUUGGUAAAAACAUUUCCAAAUCAUAAAGUGAAAACAAUAGAACACAUUUAAAAUAAAAUACUCUCUUCAUAUACAUAACAUAACAAGUCAUAUACCCUAUGGGACAUUAACCCUAGGUAUUGCUCAAAUCUCACACCAUUAGCCAAAAUUUUAACUAGACAAUGGAAAACAUGAAUCGCACCUUCUACCACUGUAGACAGGUUAAGCACUGGUUGGUGGUUUAAGGUAUAUCCUCUGGCAGGUACUCUGGGUUUAUUUCCUCUCACAUUUGGUUGUUUAGGGUUUAACUUGAGGGAACAGGUUGCAACCUGAUGCUCAGCACUACCACACCGUAAACAUUUUCGGGUCUUCAUCCAACAAUUAUCCUCAGUAUGAUUGGUUUUUCCACAAUAUCCACAAGAUAAGAGAUGGAUUGAGGUUUGAUCUCCUUGUGAGACACCUCUCAAUUGUCCUCCUCCACCUAGGGUUCCUUUCGGAGUAACUUCCUUGGAUGUCUCCAAAAUUUUCACACCACCAACUCCUCGACCCAUUUUAGAAGGUGUCAUACUUAGAUCAUCUUGUUCCUGCCCUUGGUCUCCACUAGACGCACAUUUCUUUCCUUUCUCCUUCUCGCUAUACUUCGUAGCGAGCUCAUCUUCACUAAUCGCUUUGCGUUUCUCUUUAGUAUCGUGGGAACUUCUUUCACCUCUUUCAACUUGAUUACUAGGAAGGUCUUGAGAUAUUACUUGGCUGGGUGAAGGCACCACUUCAAACUUAUUCCGUACCCUUUCUAGAAUCCCCUUGUAUUUCUUUUCCAAUUCCAUAUUCUUGUGUAACAGUUCAAUUUUCUCAGCAUAUUCUUGUUUCCAUCGUCCUUCCCAAUAGUCAACCAAUUUCUUUUGGAAUUCUACCUCCAUCCGAAGGGUGUCUUUUUCCUUAUGCAUACCUUCCAAAUUUGUCAUAUCACCAAUUCCCUUAAAGUCAAAUGACAGCCUGCCAUGAAAAUCAAAAGAUCGAAAUGAAUAAUUAAUCACAAUUGGAAACUCUAGCCAUAUCACUCUUUCAUUUUUUUGCUUACAGGUUACCCAAGAAAUAUGAAUUUUAACUAUACCCCACAGAGGUAGAUAAGAAAUCUAAACAUAAGUACUAAUUUUUAUUCUUGGGUCUUUUCACAAGGAUUACUAUCAUCACUUAUCCAUGAAACAAAAUGUAGAUUUAUAUUCCUUUAGUAGAAGUUUCACAACCUAACUCAACUCACUCUUUCUUAUACACUUACUUAUAAACUCAUUCAAGAAGAAACUAUAACUUCUAACCCCUCAAUAGUGCUUUUUCCAUCCUCCAUCUGGGUAGUUGUCCUAAAUCCGCAAAAAUUCGUAUACAAGUGUAGAACUUACACUUUUGUCUCCAAAAAUUCCAUAUAUAAUUCACAACUUAAAUAGAAAUCAAACUCAAGUUCCUAUGCGAUAUCGUAGAAGGGUAGAAAAUACAAAAGAUAGUCAAGUAAGAGUUAAAACGAGUUCAAAAGAAAUUCAUGUAUAACCGUAAUCAAAUCGCAAUAAAAUCAUAGAAACACGAAAUAAGAGUACAUAGGUACGGGAGAAAUAAAACAAACUAUAAUACUAGCGCCUUAACGUUCGCAACGAUCACCAAUCUAGCUAUCAUCUACAAAAAUCCUAACCAGACCUGCACGAGACUAAUCCAUGACAACACUCACUGAUCCACUUUCCGUAAUCAGUUCAAUCUCAAGUCCAUUAUUAGAACCUUUCACACCUUGAAUUUUACCAUCCAACUUUAUCUCAAGUUCAAUCGAGAUAUCAAUCCUUUUUCUAGUAGUCUCCACUUUUAGUACUCAGAUACAAGAAUCCAAAACUAGGAGAAUUCACAUCUCAGGCCGUACGCUCCCAAGUGCAAAUCGUCCAAGUUCAAGAUUCCAACCUGACAUACACAUCUAUCAACCUCAAGUAUCAUGAUAAAGGUUUUACGUCUAUAACUUUCAUAAUUCAUAACUUACGCUCAUGUAGAGCACUUAGCCCUUGAUAUUUAUUCAUAUAAUUGGGACCAUAUCACCACUUGGCCCAAGUUCACCUUGCGCAGAGACCACGCGAGACAGUUCUCAUACCGUCUGUGAUGACCCCACCUCCCCCUAGGGCGUACCUUAGGGUUUUGCGGACCGCCUACCCAACUCUCCCCGGGAGUCACUCACUUUCUGAAAAAAAUAACUUUCAACCAUAGAAAGGAAAUAAAACAACAAUUUCCAAACUUAAAAUAUACAUUAGUACUUAAAUCCAACUCCAAGACUCAUACAUGCCCCAAAUGUGUCAAAUAUUCCAAAAUCCAAAUACAUCCAACCCUAGUUAGGCACUAGCAUGAACACAGUCGUAAAAAUUCAAAAACCAGACUUUGCUAGCCUGUACCAAUCCCCACGCCCUUGGUCGUAUCCCCUGUAAGGAAAACAAAUCUCAUAGACUGAGUUAAAACUCAGUGAGGUUCCAAAAUUUCAUGCAGACCUAAAUAGCAAGUUGACCGUGAUUUAAAAUCACAUGUAUCAAAAUAGCGAGCACAUGAAGUCAAGAAAAUGAGUAAUAAAGUUUUAUAAAGCCAAGCACUGGUUAUUUAACAUAUCAAGUAUAAGGAUACCGCCGCUAUUUCAAAAUAGCUCCGCCAUAGCUUGAUCAAGUAAUAGUUGACUCUCCGUCAACUUUCAAGUAAAGUAACUCGUCCAGUAGAGCUCCGCUUGAUACCAAUCCAUCCACCAUUCAACCCCUUUACCGGGCCCGAACGUUCAGAUAAACACGUGCGGUAAUACUUGAGUAUACCGAUUAGUCGAGGAGGUAUCACUCCACUCGACAAAACAAGAGAUCCAGGAUUCGUUAUCUAAUCGACCAGGCCCUUUGCCGGCUCAACUCGAUUAACUAAUCUCAGGAUUUCUGGAAUUUCAGAGUACUCACGCAUAAACAAGUAUAUCAAAUCAUGUGCACUCAAGGCACAACAACAAGUCAGGUUUAGGACAAGUGCGAAAAAGUACACCCUUGUCCGUUCAAACAAGUCAAUUAUUAUCCAAGCACAUUAAUAAAACAUGUUAAAACAAGUAUCAAAUACAAACAUGCAUUUGGAAGCACUCACCAAAGGUCUAGUAUUUUUCAAGAUCAUGCACAGGUGCAACUCCUUGGAUGGAGUCCAAGUCUGCGAUGAAAUAUUAUUGAAGAGUUUAAAAUCAACUAGGCUUCGAAACUUAAGCGUUUCGCUUAACGAAAAUUAAGUAACUAAAACUCAUUUGGGUAAUAGUCAUGUUACUUAUCAAACUCUAGAAAAUUCAUACUCGCUCUUUUGGUGUUGCUAAAGAAGCAAUUAAAAUUUUGGAAUUCGUAUUUGAGUCUAAAAGACGAGAAAAACGUAUUUCUAUUGGUUGCUACUUUCACUUUUUAAAGGAUAUAAGUUUCAGCCGAAUUCAACUCAUAUACUUCUACUAACGAUAACUUGACUGCCAUAGACAAUCUAAGUUCCCUUCGACUUCAAAUCGUCGCUCAACUCAAGUUCAGUCGCCUAACCCUUGAGCGAAAAUUUAGGCGGCAUGCCCUUGGUAUUUCGCUAUUUUUCAGCAAUUUAUGACUUCAUUAUUUCCUCAACUCAGCCCAAAUUCAACACAUAAGCAAGCUUAACACAAUAGCUCUUCAACUAGACUCAAUGUCAUACAAAUACAAGUCAAUUCUAGUAAUGCAAUCAUCAAGACCAAAGGUGGAAACUAGUAUUAAAGAAGAAUGUCUAAGUAACAGGUUUGUCAUCUUUCGACGUUUUGAUCACAACUGAAGCUAUGCUUAUCAGAUUGGGGCAAAUUUUAUGACAUUUUUAAGCUAAGACAUAGAACUACAAUUUCUAUGAAAACAUAGACACCCAGUUCUCACAUUUUCAGGGUCAAAAUUUGACAUCUCAGAGAAAAUAGAAAGCUGUCGAUUAAAUAGGGUAUUUGGGCAGUCAGGGAUAUUUUAGUCAUUUCACAAGGUACAGUGAUCCGAUUGAGGUGAAAUUUUGCAGGUUGACAUUUAACUCAAUUCCCAAUAACUUUCAUGCUUUGAGCAAGAGCUGAUUUGGCCUUUAUCAUGGAUGAAUAUGCAGGUCAGAUCGGUUCAAAGAAAUAGGGCAGAAUCCAUACCAAUGUAGGAAUUCAACUUUUACUCUAACAAAGUUACACUCAAACCCAAAAUCACUUCACAAGUUCCAUUUCCAACCUUAAUACAUCAUUUAGUAGUUAAACAACACUAAUCAAAACUGAAAAGAUGCAAACCCUGACUAAACAUGCCACUACUCUAUCAAAACUAAACAAUCAACCAUCAUAUGCCAAGAUUACAAGUUUCUAUAGCAUUUUUAGCUAGAUUAAGUUAAAGACAAGAGGUGGAUGAACUUAUACCUUCCCAAAGCCUUCUUGUAAGUGAAAACAAACCACUCUCUUCCAAUAAUUGCACCACACCAAACUUUCCAAGCACCAAAAGGUAAGUUUAAUCGGUUUAGUUUUUGUGAUUUCAACUCAACAAGAAAGAAUCAAGGUUGGAGUUGAAGUUAUUUUUCUCUCUUUGUCCCCCUCUUAGUUUCGGCCAACAUGAAAAAGAAUUAAGGAGAAAUGAAACCAAUUUGGUAAUAAGAAGGAAGGAAAUUGGUUUAGUCAAAGUUGGUUGGAUUUCCGCCAAGUGUCGCUACAAGAUUAAAUCUCAAAAUUUUCUUUUCUCUCUCUUCUUUUAGUCCAAAUUUUUGGCUGUCUUAAGGAGAUAUUUAGGGCUGAUUUUGCUCAAUUAAUAACCAGGAGAUUAAGGUAAUAAAGUAGUGUCCAAAUGGUAUACUCAAUCGGUAGCAAACAGUGCACGUCGAUUCAAGCAGAUUUUCCUUAACUCGCUUGUACUUGUGUUUUAACUUGUGAUUCACAAAAUUAUUAUUAGCACUUCUAAUCAUACACUUUCUCUUACUUAAUACUUGUUCUUAUCCAUCAAAUUUAGUUCGCACACCUCACCAAGUGAUCACACUACCAAAAUGCACAAAAAACAUACAAAAAACCCUAGUAUGCACAAAAAAAAACCCUAACUCAUGUCAUUCCUUUAGAAAAAUCAUAACUUGAGUUAUAAAUGUCAAACAUUCAUACAACUUGACCUGUUAAAAACUAGAUUUAAAACACUACUAAUCUUUAGAAGAUACCUCAAAGAAAUUCAACUCAUAAGUUAGUCCAAAUUGACUUAUAAACUGCUAUAACAUUCCUAUGUUUACUUGUGCAGGGCAGAAUUUUCAGUCAACUUUGCCAAUUUUCAAGAAUUUAAAGAGAUUGAAUCAAACUCUGAAUUUUUCAUAAUAGAAAACAAACGAAACUCAAUUCCAACUUUCCUACACGAAGUUAUAGCCAAUUUCCCAAAACUGCGCAAAACCUCCUGCGAAAAUUUUUAGAUUUUCUAACAACUUGAUAUUAUGAAACUUUUCUUAACAAAAUUAACUCCCUUGGCUCACAUUCAACCAAGAAUCUAAGGCAAGUAAGUUCAAAUAAGAGCUAUAAAGACAAGUAAACUUUCGAGAUCUCACACUCUCUCCCCAUUAAAAGAAUUUCGUUCUCGAAAGUCGAACCUUUGCUCGCACAAAACUUGAUGUUCCAGUAUUUUCCUCCAAUUGCUAAGUGGCUUUCCGUUACUCGAAGCACUGUCACAAACUUACCUAGAGGGAAAACGUAAUGGCUAAGUUGAUAUGCUGAGGAAUUUCAAUGAAGGCAUCAAAUUGUGCAAAGUGAUAUAAAUUUAGGAACUUGAUGAAAAGGAAAUUCGCAACUAUAAAACUUGGUUACUACUCUUGCUAAAUCGUGAAAUAAAACACUAUGUAUUGGCAAAUAAUCUCCAAAGUAUAUCUUCUCUCAUGAUUACAAUUAAAUCUCUAGACACAUACUACCUUCCAUGCCACUUUUGAAAAAACAAAAGUAGACUAAAGAGGCAUAAGCAAAAUAAAAUAGUUAUAAAGUUUGGUAAAAGCAUUUCCAAAUCAUAAAGUGAAAACAAUAGAACACAUUUAAAAUAAAAUACUCUCUUCAUAUACAUAACAUAACAAGUCACAUACCCUAUGGAACAUUAACCCUAGGUAUUGCUCAAGUCUCACCAUUAGCCAAAAUUUUAACUAGACAAUGGAAAACAUGAAUUACACCUUCUACCACUGUAGACGGGUUAAGCACUGGUUGGUGGUUUAAGGUAUAUCCUCUGACAGGCACUCUGGAUUUAUUUCCUCCCACAUUUGGUUGUUUAGAGUUUAACUUGAGAGAACAGGUUGCAACCUGAUGCUCAGCACUACCACACCGUAAACAUUUUCGGAUCCUUCUCCAACAAUUAUCUUCAGUAUGGUUGGUUUUUCCACAAUAUCUACAACAUAAGUGAUGGAUUGAGAUUUGAUCUCCUUGUGAGACACCUCUCAGUUGUCCUCCUCCACCUGGGACUUCUUUCGGAGUUACUCCCUUGGAUCUCUCCGAAAUUUUCACACCACCAACUCAUCGACCCAUCUUAAAGGGUGGCAUACCUAGAUCACCUUGUUCCUGCCCUUGGUCUCCACUAGACGCACAUCUCUUUCCUUUCUCCUUUUCGCUACACUUCGUAGCGAGUUCAUCUUCACUAAUCGCUUUGCGUUUCUCUUUAGUAUCGUGGGAACUUCUUUCACCUCUUUCAACUUGAUUACUAGGAAGGUCUUGAGAUACUAUUUGGCUGGGCGAAGGCACUACUUCAAACUUAUUCGGUACCCCUUCUAGAAUCCCCUUGUAUUUCUUUUCCAAUUCCAUGUUCUUGUGUAGCAGUUUAAUUUUCUCCACAUAUUCUUGUUUCCAUCGUCCUUCCCAAUAGUCAACCAAUUUCUUUUGGAAUUCUACCUCCAUCCGAAGGGUGUCUUUUUCCUUAUGCAUACCUUUCAAAUUUGUCAUAUCACCAAUUCCCUUAAAGUCAAAUGACAGCCUGUCAUGAAAAUCAAAAGAUCGGAAUGAAUAAUCAAUCACAAUUGAAAACUCUAGCCAUAUCACUCUUUCAUUCUUUUGCUUACAGGUUACCUAAGAAAUAUGAAUUUUAACUAUACCCUACUAGGAUAGAUAAGAAAUCUAAACAUAAGUACUUAUUCUUAUUCUUGGAUCUUUUCACGAGGAUUACUAUCAUCGCUUAUCCAUGAAACAAAAUGUAGAUUUAUAUUCCUUUAGUAGAAGUUUCACACCAUAAUUCAACUCAAUCUCUCUUAUACACUUACUUAUAAACUCACUCAAGAAGAAACUAUAACUUCUAACCCCUCAAUAGUGCCUUUUCCAUCCUCCAUCUGGGUAGUUGUCCUAAUUCCGCAAAAAUUCGUACACAAGUGUAGAACUUACACUUUUGUCUCCAAAAAUUUCAUAUAUAAUUCACAACUUAAAUAGAAAUCAAACUCAAGUUCCUAUGCGGUAUUGUAGAAGGGUAGAAAAUAGAAAUGAUAGUCAAGCAAGAGUUAAAACGAGUUCCAAAGAAAUUCAUGUAUAAUCGUAAUCAAAUCACAACAAAAUCAUAGAAACACGAAAUAAGAGUACAUAGGUACGGGAGAAAUAAAACAAACUAUAAUACUAGCGCCUUAACGUUCGCAACGAUCACCAAUCUAACUAUCAUCUACAAAAACCCUAACCAAACCUGCACGAGACUAAUCCAUGACAACACUCACUGAUCCACUUUCCGUAAUCAGUUCAAUCUCAAGUCCAUUACUAGAACCUUUCACACCUUGAUUUUUACCAUCCAACUUUAUCUCAAGUUCAAUCGAGAUAUCGAACCUUUUUCUAGUACUCUCCACUUUUAGUACUCAGAUACAAGAAUUCGAAACUAGGAGAAUUCAAAUCUCAGGUCGUACGCUCCCAAGUGCAAAUUUUUCAAGUUCAAGAUUCCUACCUGACAUACAUAUCUAUCUACCUCAAGUAUCAUGAUAAAGGUUUUACGUCUAUAACUUUCAUAAUUCACAACUUACGCUCAUGAAGAGCACUAAGCCCUUGAUACUUAUUCGUAAAAUUGGGACCAUAUCACCACUUGGCCCAAGUUCACCUUGCGCAGAGACCACGCGAGGCAGCUUUGAUACCAUCUGUGACGACCCCACGUCCCCCUAGAGCGUACCCUAGGGUAUAGCGGAUCGUCUGCCCAACUCUCGCCGGGACUCACUCACUUACUGAAAAAAAUAACUUACAACCAUAGAAAGGAAAUAAAACAACAAUUUUCAACCUUAAAAUAUACAUUAGUACUUAAAUCCAGCUCCAAGACUCAUACAUGCCCCAAAUGUGUCAAAUAUUCCAAAAUCCAAAUACAUCCAACCCUAGUCAGGCACUACCGUGAACACAAUCGCAAAAAUUCAAAAACCAGACUUUGCUAGCCUGUACCAAUCCCCACGCCCUUGCUAGUAUCCCCUGUAAGGAAAACAAAUCUCAUAAAAUGAGCUAAAACUCAAUGAGGUUCCAAAACUUCAUGCAGACCCAAAUAGCAAGUUGACCAUGAUAUAAAAUCGCAUGUAUCAAAAUAGCAAGCAAAUGAAGUCAAGAAAAUGAGCAAUAAAGUUUUGUAAAGCCAAGCACUAGUUAUUUAACAUAUCAAGUGAAAGGAUACCGCCGCUAUUUCAAAAUAGCUCCGCCAUAGCUUGAUCAAGUAGUAGUUGACUCUCCGUCAACUUUCAAGUAAAGUAACCCGUCCAGUAGAGCCCCGCUUGACGCCAAUCCGUCCACCAUUCAACCCCCUUACCGGGCCCAAACAUUCAGAUAAACACGUGUGAUAAUAUUCGAGUAUACCGAUUAGUCGAGGAGGUAUCACUCCACUCGACAAAACAAGAGACCCAGGGUUCGUUAUCUAAUCGACCAGGCCCUUUGUCGGCUCAACUCGAUUAACUAAUCUCAGAGUUUCUGGAAUUCCAGGGUGCUCACUUAUAAACAAGUAUAUCAAGUCAUGUGCACUCAAGACACAGUAAUAAGCCAUGUUUAGGACAAGUGCGAUAAAGUACACCCUUGUCCGUUCAAACAAGUCAAAUAUUAUCCAAACACAUUAAUAAAACAUGUAAAAACAAGUAUCAAAUACAAACAUGCACUUGAAAGCAUUCACCAAAGGUCUAGUGCUUUUCAAGGUCACGCUCAGGUGCAACUCCUUGGAUGGAGUCCAAAUCUGCGAUGAAAUAUUAUUCAAGAGUUUAAAAUCAACUAGGGUUCGAAACUUAAGCGUUUCGCUUAACGAAAAUCAAGUAACUAAAACUCAUUUGGGUAAUAGUCAUGUUACUUAUCAAACUCUAUAAAAUUCAUGCUCGCUCUUUUGGUGUUGCUGAAGAAGCAAUUAAAACUUUGGAAUUCGCAUUUGAGUCUAAAAGACGAGAAAAACGUAUUUCUUUUGGUCGCUACUUUCACUUUUUAAAGGGUACAAGUUUCGGACGAAUUCAGCUCAUAUACUUCUACUAACGGUAACUUGACUACCAUAGACAAUCUAAGUUCUCUUCGACUUCAAAUCGUCACUCAACUCAAGUUCACUCACCUAACCCUUUGGCGAAAAUUUGAGCGGCAUGCCCUUUGUAUUUUGCCAUUUUUCAGCCAUUUAUGGCUUCAUUAUUUUCCUCAACUCAGCUCAGAUUCAACACAUAAGCAAGUUUAACACAAUAGCUCUUCAACUAGGCUCAAUGUCAUCCAAAUACAAGUCAAUUCUAGUAAUGCAAUCAUCAAGACCAAAGCUGGAAACUAGUAUUAAAGAAGAAUGUCUAAGUAACAGGUUUGUCAUCUUUCGGCGUUUUGAUCACAACUGAAGCUAUGCUUAUCGGAUUGGGCCAAAUUUUAUGGCAUUUUUAAGCUAAGACAUCGAACUACAUUUUCUAUGAAGACAUCGACACCCAGUUCUCACAUUUUCAGGGUCAAAAAUUGACAUCUCAGAGAAAACAAAAAGCUGUCGGUUAAACAGGGCAUUUGGGCAGUCAAGGGUAUUUUAGUCAUUUCACAAAAUACAGUACUCCGAUUGAAUUGAAAUUUUUGCAGGUCGAUAGUUAACACAAUUCCCUAUAACGUUCAUGUUUUGACCAAGAGAUGAUUUGGCCUUUAUCAUGGAUGAAUAUGCAGGUCAGAUCGGUUCAAAGAAACAGGGCAGAAUCUCUACCAAUGCUGGAAUUCAACUUUUACUCUAACAAAGUUGCACUCAAUCCCAAAAUCACUUCACAAGUUCCAUUUCCAACCUUAAUACAUCAUUUAGUAGUUAAACAACACUAAUCAAAACUGAAAAGAUACAAACCCUAGCUAAACAUGCCACUACUCCAUCAAAACUAAACAAUCAACCAUCAUAUGCCAAGAUUACAAGCUUCUAUAGCAUUUUUAGCUAGUUUAAGUUAAAGACAAGAGGUGGAUGAAUUUAUACCUUCCUAAAGCCUUCUUGUAAGUGAAAACAAACCACUCUCUUCCAAAAAUUGCACCACACCCAGCUUUCCAAGCACCAAAAGGUAAGUUUAAUCGGUUUAGUUUUUGUGAUUUCAACUCAACAAGAAAGAAUCAAGGUUGGAGUUGAAGUUGUUUUUCUCUCUUUUUCCCCCGCUUAGUUUUGGCCAACAUGAAGAAGAAUGAAGGAGAAAUGAAGCCAAUUUAGUGAUAAGAAGGAAGGAAAUUGGUUUAGUCAAAGUUGGUUGGAUUUCCGCCAAGUGUCGCUACAAGAUUAAAUCUCAAAAUUUUCUUUUCUCUCUCUUCUUUUAGUCCAAAUUUUCGGCUGUCUUAAGGAGAUAUUUAGGGCUGAUUUUACUCAAUUAAUAACAAGGAGAUUAAGGUAAUAAAGUAGUGUUCAUGUGGUGUACUCAAUCGGUAGCAAACGGUGCACGUCGGUUCAAGCCAAUUUUCCUUAAUUCUCUUGUACUUGUGUUUUAACUUGUAAUUCACAAACUUAUUAUUAGCACUUCUAAUCACAUACUUUCUCUUACUUAAUACUUGUUCUUCUCCACCAAAUUUAAUACACACACCUCACCAAGUAAUCACACUACCAAAAUACACCAAAAACACAUCAAAAACCCUAGUAUGUACAAAAAAAAAAUCUUAACAUAUGUCAUUCCUUUAGAAAAAUCAUAACUUGAGUUAUAAAUGUCAAACAUUCAUACAACUUGACCUGUUAAAAACUAGACUUAAAACACUACUAAUCUUUAAAAGAUACCUCAAAGAAAUUCAACUCAUAAGUUAGUCCAAAUUGAGUCAUAAGCUACUACAACAUUCCUAUGUUUACUUGUGCAAGGCAGAAUUUUCAGUCAAAUUUGCCAAUUUUUUAGAAUUUAUAGAUAUUGAAUCAAACUCUGAAUUUUCUACUGUAGGAAGCCCUAUGAGUCUAGUUUCAAACGCAACAAACGAAACUCAAUUCCGACUUUCCUACACGAAGUUAUAGCCGAUUUCCCAAAGUUGCGCAGAGCUUCCAAUGAAAAUUUCUAGAUUUUCUAACAACUUUAGAUUAUGAAACUUUUCUUAACAAAAUUCACUCCCUUGGCUCGCAUUCAACCAAGAAUCUAAAGCAAGUAAGUUCAAAUAAGAACUAUAAAGACAAGUAAAAUUUCGGGGUCUCACAGUGUUGCUUCGUGAAUCGCCUUGCAACUCCUAGGGAUUUGAACUCCUGUUACAAAACCGCGAGCCAUUCUUGUGUAUCAGAGGAUCUCUGAGUUUUUGCAACAAAACUACGGAAAUUUCUGUACUUUGCAACUUUUAACUUCAAUUCUUCUGCUUGCAUAAAUCAUGACCCAAUCAUUAUUUUACCAAAUUCAAAGUUUCUAAUAAGUUUAAAAUGAUACAAGCAUGCAAUUUAUCCUCUUAUAUCAAAUCAAAUAUAUCAAAAUUACAAAUCGAGGGUUUGAGUUCUUUAUAUUUAAUGUUUCUCGCCAACCUUCAAAAAGUGACUUUUGCCUCAACUUGCAAAACCUACAAAAUAAAUAACAAAAACACACUUUAACAAAUCAAAUACAUAUAGAAACAAACUUAAACUAAUGAAAUUAUUCAAAUAUUGGGUUGUCUUCCAAUUAGCGCCUUUGUUUAGAGUUGUUGGUCUGAUUCAAAAGAAUUACCUCUUCAAUCAUUGUUAGGAUCCUUUAAGGAUUAUGUUACCCCUUUAGGGACAAUUCACCAGUUAGAUAGGGUUUUAAACGCUGUCCGUUGAUUUUAAAGGGUGGACCUUGUUCAAAAGUCACCUCCGCGGCAUCAUAUGGGUAUACGUUUAUAAAUGUAAAUAGUCCAGACCACCUAGAUCUUAGUUUACCUGGGAACAACUUGAGACGAGAGUUAAAUAAAAGAACUUUUUCCUAUCUCAAAUUGUCUUUGAACAAUGUGCUUAUCAUGCCAAUAUUUCACUUUUUUUCUAUAUAUUUUUGUAUUUUCAUAAGCACUCAAUUGGAAUUCCUCCAAUUCGCUUAAUUGGAGCAAUCUUUUAUGACUUGUAAGAGAAAAAUUCAUGUUAAACUCCUUUAUUGCCCAAUAAACUCUAUGUUCAAUUUCGACAGGCAAAUGUCAUAUUUUUUCAUACACUAGACAAUAAGGAAACAUACCCAGAGGUAUUUUAAAUAUAAUCCUAUUUGCUCAAAGUGUGUCAUCUAACUUCUUAACCCAAUCUUUUCUAGACUUACUCACGAUUUUUUUUUAAAUCAAGUCAAUCUCUCUGUUAGUUAGUUCUACUUGGCCAUUAGCUUGUGGAUGAUAUGCAAGAGAUAUUUUAUACCUACAAUCAUAUUUUAACAAAAUGAGUCAAACCAUUUGUUGCAAAAAUGUUUACCUUCAUCACUCACUAUUGCCCAAGGGAUACCAAAUAUAGUAAAAAUGUUCUUUUUAAUGAAUUUAAUUAUAACUUUUGCAUCAUUAGUUGGGGUGACAGUUGUUUCUACCCAUUUUGACACAUAAUCAACCGCAACAAAUAAGCACUUAUUAUUAUUUGAAUCAGGAAAUGGACCCAUAAUAUCAAUGUCCCAAAUUUCAAAUAAUUUAAUUUCAAGAAACACAUUUAAAGGCAUUUCAUACUUUUUAGAGAUAUUACCGAUUCUUUGACAUUCAUCACAACUUCUAACAUAAUUUCUAACAUCUUUAUACAUAGUAGACCAAUAAAAUUCAAAUUGUUUUACCUUUACAAUUAUUUUAGAUGUACUAAAAUGAUCACCAAUUUCUCGGUUAUGACAAUGAAAAAGAAUAUUUAGUACCUUAUCUUCCGGAACACAUCGGCGUAUCAUUUCAUCUGCAUAAUACUUGUAGAACAAAGGUUCCUCCCAAAAGUAAUGUUUCACAUCAUAAAUAAAUCGCUUCCUUUGAUGAUAACUUACAUCUUUCAAAAUUAUGCCACUUACUAGAUAAUUGACAUAAUCUGCAUACCAAAGUGAACCUUUAAUAACUAGUAAUUGCUCAUCUGAAAAAUUUUCAUUGAUAGGAACAACUUCAUUUCAAGGGAUAUUCUCCAAACGAGAAAGAUGAUCAACAACUACAUUCUCGGAUCUUUUUUUGUAUCUAAUCUCUAUGUCAAAUUCCUGCAAGAGAAGAAUCCAUGGAAUAAGUUUAAGUUUUGUAUCUUUCUUAUUUAAUAAGUAUUUUAGAACUGCAUGAUUGAUAUAAAUGAUAACUUUAGAACCAACUAAAUAAUAUCUAAAUUAAUUAAGUGCAAAUAUUACGGCUAACAACUCUUUCUCAAUUGUAGUGUAAUUGACUUAAACAUCAUUUAGAAUCCUAUUAAUAUAAUAAAUAACAUGCAAUCUUCCUUUUUUUUCUUUGUCCAAGAACUGCCCCAACCGUAUAAUCAUUUGCAUCACACAUGAAUUCAAAUGGCAAUAACCAAUCCGGUGACGUAAUAAAUAGAGUUGAUGUUAAUGCCUUCUUUAAACUAUUAAAAGCAUUCAGACAUUUAUCAUUAAAGUCAAAGGUGGCAUCUUUAUUUAAUAAAUCACAUAGAGGUUUUGUAAUUUUGAAAACAUCUUUUAUAAAACGUCUAUAAAAUCUCGCAUGAUCAAGAAAACUUCUACUGCCUCUAAUGUUGUUUGGUGGUGGUAUUUUCUCAAUUAAUUCAAUUUUAGCUCUAUCCACCUCAAUUCUUUUAGAAAAAAGUUUGUGACCAACAUAAUUCCUUCUCUAACUAUAAAAUAAUAUUUUUUUUAAAAUUUAAAAUAAGAUUAGUACCUUCACAUCUUUGCAAACUUUUCUCCAAAUUAUACAAACAAUCAUCAUAAGAAGAUCCAAAAACUGAAAAAUCAUCCACAAAAAUUUUCAUGAUCGUCUCUACAUGAUCGGAGAAUAUAGCCACCAUGCAUUAUAAUUUUAGUGGGAAUAAUUUCAUCAUUUUCAUUUACAAUUAACGUCAUCUUACCUUUCUUUGGCACAAUAUGAAUUGGACUAAUCCAAUCACUAUUAGAGAUAAGAAAGAUAAUACCUGUAUUGACCCACUUUAAAAUCUCAAUACUUAUCACUUCCUUCAUAUUUGGAUUAAGUCGUUUUUGAAUUUCUACCACUGAUUUAAUUCUAUACAUGCAAAUGGUAGGGCUUAUACCCUUGAGAUCGGAAAUGAUCCAACCAAUUGUCAGUUUGUGCCUCCUUAGAAUUCGUAACAACUUGUCCAACUACACAUCAUCCAAAAAAGCACUUACUAUCACUGAUAAUGUAUCAUUUUCACCAAGAAAUGCAUACCUUAAAUGAUCGGACAAUGGUUUAAGAUCAAGAAUCGGAGUUUGCUCACUUGAUGACGGUGGUAACCUUUUUCCUUUUCCUAUAUCUUAUAAUAAUUUCCUCUUUUAUAAGGCACUUGAGAGUUCAAGAAAUUAGCUAUCUACAAAAUCUCCAAAUCAUCAUCUUCUUGAAAAAUAUAAUCAAACAAAUAAAUUUCAAUCAUAUCAAUUGCAUACACAUUAUUAGUAAACGAAAAAAAUUUCUCAAAUUCAUGCAAAUUAAAUUCAAUUUCAUCUUUUCCUAUUUUGAACUUAAACUUCCUUUGUUUAACAUCAAUAAUAGCACCGGCUAUAGCUAAGAAAGGUCUACCAAGUAUAAUUGACAUAUUAACAUCCUCUUCCAUAUCAAGAACGACAAAGUCCACUGAAAUUAUGAAAUUUUGACUUUUAUAAGCACUUUUUCAAGCACACCAAGAGGAUAUUUAACCGACCUAUCCGCUAAUUGCAAAGAAAUUCUAGUCCUCUUAAGUUCAUUUAAACUAAGUUUUCGAACAACACAUAGAAGAAUUAAUGAAACACUUGCAUCUAAAUCACAUAAUGCAUUUAAGAAAUUUAUGUUACCAAUGGUGCGAGGGAUUGAAAAACUGACCAGAUUUUUCAACUUUGGAGGGAGUUUGUUUUGAAUCAAUGCACUACAUUCCUCCAUCAAUGCUAUCGUUUCGUGAUUCUCUAAACACCUUUUCUUUGACAUGAUUUCCUUGAAAAAUUUGGCACAGGAUGAAAUUUGAGAAAUAGCAUCUACAAAAGGAAUGUUAAUAUACAAUUGUUUAAAUAUUUUAACAAACUUUUCAAACUCCUUAUCCAAUCGACUUUGCUUGAAUCUUUGAGAAAAUAGUACAGGAGGUAUGGGCACAUUAGUUUUAAAAGUUGAUUUUUCUUUGUCCACAACUUUUUCCUUUCCUUUUUCCUCUAUACUUAACCUUUGAUCAUUAAUCAAACUCUCUUAUUUGUCCCUUACAAGGUCAACAUUAGAAGGACCAUCAUAUUAUUUAUCACUUUGGAGAAUAACUGCCUUACAAUACUCCCUAAGAUUGACUUUGAUUUUGCUUGGUAACUCCCCUUGGUUGGUUUUUAGAGUUCACGGCAUUGGCAAUUUAAUCGAGUUGGACUUCUAUAUUUCUAUACAUUAAGGUUAAUUGGUCCAUUUUUCUCUCUAAUCUUUCAAAUCUCUCCAAGGUAUUUUUAGCUAAUCUAUCCAUAUUACUAUUGGUAGUAUUAGCUAAUGUUUCAAUGGCCAUCUUCCAUGAUGGUUUGGAUUCAAUGGGUGUUUGUUUUGAUUGGAAGUUCUGUGGAUUAGUUGGUCUUUGUUGAUUUUCUUGAUGUUUUCACUCAAAGUUUGGAUGAUUCCUCUACCCUGAAUUAUAAGUGUUGGAAUACAGAAUGUUUUGAAUUGGAUGGUUGAAAUUAUUCACAUAUUGUACUUGUUCCAAAGCAACACAAUUAAUAAUUUCAUGAUUUCCUCCACAAAAAGUACAACAUGCUACAGUAACAAUAGAAAUUGAAUCAACCUCACCUUGUUUAUUUAGCACUUUCACCCAUUGUCCAUUUUUGCAUCAUCAAUGAAAAUGGAAACAAUCUAAACUUUAUAGCAUCAUCACUUACUCCAUUAAGUUUGAUUGUAUCACAAAUUUUUGAAAAAUUAGCUGAGUUAGCAUUUGGAUCCUCCAUUGAGUGACCUUCAAAUUGAUUUUGUUGGAUCAUUUGAAUCAAGGAGGGUUUAAUCUCAAAGUUGUUUGCAUUAAUUGCCAGUCUUGCGAUACUUGUUUGUUCUCCUGAAAUAUCCGACAAUGCAAACUCCCUUAAGGCUUGAUGGUUCUGAUUUACUCGUUCUUCUUCCAUUGUUUCUCUUAGAGACUGCUCAAUCAAAAUCUCACCUGCACUUUCUUCCCUUGAAUUUUCUUCACCUUGUUGUUGUUGUUAUCGUACACUUCAUCUUGGCUUCCUAGCGGUCCUUUCAAUUUUCGGAUCAAAUGGGACUAGGCCACGAAGCAAUCGGUGCAUGCACUACAAAAAUACAACAAAAAGAUAAGUAAAAGAACUUAUCUUCACUCCUAUAUAUAUAAAAAAAUCAGAAAAAUUAAGAACUAAAACAAUAUUUAGACUAAUAUUAUCCAAUUCCCUAGCAAUGGCACAAAAAACUUAUGUGGUUUAAUAAAUUUCUAAUUAUCAAUUCAAUUUAGUCUAAUUACCUCGAUUUUCCACAAGUAUACAAGUUAAACGAGUAUAGUAAUGAUUAGGGUCGAUCCCACAGGGAAUUGGUUAAUUACCAAGGCUUUUCAACUAAUUUUAUUAUCUAAACAAAUUAAAUAUUAUCAAAGAAUAACAAUGACAAAAUUAAAGAGAUUAAUUUAGACGGUAAAACCAGCCAUACAAGUUAGAGGUUAGUUAGGCGGUACAAUCGGCCAUAUAACAUAAACAAUAAAUAUAAAACCGACCAUUAGGUGGUAAAUCAACCAUGUAGGCGGUAAGUUAAAAGAAAAGAAACAAAAGUUGAGAAAGUUAGAUUAGGUCUUCUUAAUAUUAAGAUCCUAGGGAUUAGAAUCUCUUGUUGCUUCAAGAUAGUGAUUGACUUGGUUAAAUUAGGCCUUUAACUUGUGACUUAUUUAGGAAGUAGCCAUCCUUAAUUUCUUGGAUGUUGUUUUCACAAAUAAAGAAGAAUCCUCACACCAAACCUUUAUCUAUUUGCAUGAUAAAUUAUCUUAACAUGAGUCCAUGAAUCUCAAUGAAGUUACAUACAUGUUCCAUCUAAAUCCACCUCCUACAAACAUGAGGAUGUAAUCUAAGGUUCAUACAUUUUAUACUAUAUAUGCAAGGCACAUUAAUAGCUCAAACACAUGCUUGGAUGAUAUAUUGUUGGUGAUCAAGCAACUACACAUAUUAGACGCAAACAUAUGAACAAACAAGUGCACAAGGUGGCCAAAAUCAACUCAAGUAAUCACACAAUCUUGAACUACAAGUUCAUCUUUUCACUAGGAUGCAAGAGUUUCGCUAGACAUAGAAUUGAACAUAUUGAAUAUAAAACUCUUGAAAUGAAACAUAAAUCAAACAAGGAAGUAAAGAGUAAAAGUUGAUGAAAUCUUUUCAAGUGAAUGAAACAAGCUCUUCAAGCUUCUCUUUUAUAACUUUGAUCUUCAAGUGUAGCACAACAAGGUUGUUGUGUUUUUAAGAAAACUUCUCUUUUUCUACUCACACAACCUUCUAUUCCAACUAUCACUCUCUAAUUCUUCUAUCCUUCCUCUCUAAAAUCAAUGAAUCACAAGGGGUAUUUAUAGAUAUUUUUGAAGAGAAAUUUGUGCUCAUAAUGUGGUCAUAAAAUUGCCCUUGACUUUUCCAACUCACACUUAGCUGUUUCCAAUCGGAUUUCUAUAGAAAAAUUGUUCAAACAGCAAUGUGAAAACGAGUGCAAGUUAUAGAACAACUUGCAGAAUUGGCACAGGGAUCCGCGAGGCAACACUUCCUGGAUCGCCUCGUGGUUCUGCUUCUUUUCUCUUUUCAAAGUUUCAAAUGUGACAGUUGAUGAUCCAUGAGGUAUUUCAUGCUGUUAGCUCGUGUAUCUUGAACUUUUGGACUUGAUUUACGACCUUUCAUUCUCUUUUCUUGAUAAUUGAACCCCUUGUAUGUUGAUCUUUGAAUCACCAAUGCUAGAGUGAUAUUCAAGUGCACUCAACUAUUAAAUUAUCCUACAAAUACCAUAUCAAUUGCACAUUGUACAUGUAACUGAAAUAAAAUGAAGUUUAUAGAAAUUAAUAACUUAAAGAGCUAGUUUCAUUCUUAAAAACCCUAAUUUCUUAACAAAAGUAAGCAAAUAGAUGUAUUUUAAGCAUAAAAAAUGAACACUUAUCACCUUAUAAUAAUAACCUCUAAAUAGAUACAAUUCUCCAAUCAUAUUAAAUGUAGGCUUGCAUAUGCAUAAAUGAAAGUAAGUAAACUCAUCAUAAUUUACCUAAAUAAUGUCCUUUAUAACCAAAAAAUCAGAGAUAAUACCAAAUAUAACUAUUCACGUAUACAUUAAGCAUAUGAAAUAUAUGUACAUAUAUCCAAAAUAACACUUAGAAAUUAGAGAUGAUACCUAAUUGUACGUAUCUAAAUAACCCUAACAAAUAUUAGUACACUCAUGCAAAAUAAAAACCAAAAAUUUAGGAGAUGAUACCACCUCUAUGAAACAUCAAAAAAGAAAUAACAAUAUUGUAAUAUCAAUCUUUUGGAACAUCAACAAGAAAUAAAAUGUUCUAACCCUUGAGAUAAUACCCAAUAUAACUAUACACAUAUCAAAUAAGCAUAUCAAAUAUAAGCACACUUUUCCAAAAGGGAAAAUGAUCGGUUUCAUCCUUCACAUUUCACAAAAAUAUUCUUUUCGUCCCUCACUUUUGAAAUGAAGCAAUUUCAUCCUUGACAUUUAAAAAUUGAAAUUAUUACAUCCCUAAACCUAAAUUUCAGUCUGAAUCAAACCACCAAUCAACCUGAUUACAAAUUUUGGGGGUAUAAUUGGAAGAUCACUUGGUUAACUCAACUUGAUAUUCAUGUGAAAUUUAAUGAACUUAAAAAGAAAAAAGAAAAAAUUAUAACAUAAAAAAGAAAUAUUAAUUUUUUCUACAUUAUCAUUGUAUACACUGACGGUUUUAUGUACCGCCAUAUCAUUUUAAUUUUAAUUUAAACACCAAAUUUUAUAUUUAUAAUACACAUUUAGAUUCGCAAGGGGAUAUACUAAUGGUGCAUGAAAAGAUUUAUCAAAAAAAAAAUUCUACUAUUCCAAGACAAAGAAUGGCCUUUUAUGUUAUUAUAUUUAUUUUUUUGGUUUAAUAAAUGUCAUGUGAAUAUGAUGAAAUUGACCGAAUGAUCUAUCAAUUCUAUUUUCAAAAUUUAUUGCUGGGUUAUUAGAUGGUUUGAUUGAAAAUUAGGUUCAGGGAUGUAAUAGUUUUAAUUUUUAAAUGUCAAGGACGAAUUUGCUUCAUUUUAAAAGUGAGGGACGAAAAGAAUAUUUUUGCGAAAUGUAAGGGAUGAAAUAGGUCAUUUUCCCUUUCCAAAAUAACACCCAGAAAAUUAGAGAUGAUACCAUAGUUAUACACAUCUAAAUAAACCUAACAAAUAUUAGUACGCUCAUACAAAAUAAAAAUUAAAUAAUUAGGAGAUGGAUAGUGUUAUGGCAAAUUGUUUUUAUUGUAUGACAUGAUAAUUUUGGAAUUGUAAAAAGUCAUAAGUGAAAAUCAUUAAAUGAUAUGGGCUUAAUUGUCACAAGUGAUAAGGGCACAUCUAAUGUGUAAGCAAUUUAGGAACACUCACUUUUUAUUUGAAAGAAUUUAGUAUAAAAUUUUCAUAAGCCAAAAAGUAAACUUUGAUCUUUUAAAAGCUUUUUGAAUAGAAUUUUAAGUAAUUGGUGGUUAUAAUGCUUUUGGGUGGUUAUGGGUGAAAAUUAGUUGUGAUUACAUUGGUUGGCAAUAUGGGUAACAUGUAAUCACAUGGUAAAGGUAAAAUUUAGUGAUUAUGAUGGUAAAGUUGAAAAUUCAAAAAGUGACAAACAAAGUUUACACCAAACCCCAUACUCUCCUUUUAUAUAUAGUAUGGAUAUUGGUUGUUAAGGUGUGGACAUAGGAUGAGAGGGUGUGGAUUUAGAUUUUCCCUACUUUAAAUUAUUUAAUUUGGCAACACCAAAAUUGAAGGCAACAUAGCAUAUUAUAAAAAUUAAAACAAACAUUCAAAUCAAUAAGGAAACAACUGCUACAAUUCCAAGCCUUCUUGUCAAUAAUUUUGACUUAAAUAUAUAAAUAUAUUUUUCCUCCUUAAAACAAAAUAAAAACUUCUUGACUCAUCUCAUGUCUUUGGAUUAUAAUUCAAAUUCUAAUAGAAUCUAAAAUUUUGUACAUAUAUUUUAAUGGUGAAUAAUGACAACAAUUGAUGUCAUUAUUAAAAUGUCUAUUAGUGAUAGCUUCAUCCUAAACCCCAAUUGAAUGAAGUACUUCUGGGUUAUAAUCAUGAAUAGGACUUGAAAUAGGAUUAUUUAAACAUAACAACUAAAGAUAUUUUCUUGAAUUAUUUUUUGGUAUUUAGUGAGCUUAGGGCACUUCCAAUGGUUUGUUUUUUCUAAGUUUUAUAUUUUUAAAGUUGGACUUUGUUCAUUAGGUUUAUUUUUUCUAAAGGUUUAUAUGUUUACUGUUGGAAUUUAUACUCUGACAUUGGAUUUGGAGUAUAUAACUAAUAAUUCUGACAUGUUAUUGACACUCAGAAUAAACUCGUCAUUAAUAGCAUGCGAGCAUCUAAAUGAUUUUUCAUAUAACACAUGAACAUCAAAUAGUGAAUAUAGAAGAAAAUUUAUAUGUGAAUUUAAAUCAACAUAUGUGCAUUUGGAUGGCUGUUCUUAGGACUAUUUUAGCAAAAUUUUUACAGCAAAUAUUUGUUUAAAAAAUUCUCUUUGGGCUCCUAUUUAUAGAGAAAUAUCAAAAUUGGUAGUAUUUUACAAAGUUUACACUCAAAAGCUUACUUUUUCUCAAGGACUACAAUUCUAACUUUUUAUUUGACCAAAAACACUUGAAAAGUGAGGUAACGCAUUGUGAAUUAUGAAGGAAAGGAAAGUAGGAAUACAAAGUUGGGAGGAAGGCAAUCUAUAGUUGAGAAAAUUUGUAGCAAUGAGAUGGGGGUAGAACUAUCAAAAUGGGUGGUUUAUGUAAGUUUGGGUGGGUUAUUAAAUGGAUCAACUCAUAAAUACCUAUUUAGUUACUGAUUCAAAAUAGACAAGUUAUCAAUGGUUAUAGUCUUAAAUGGGAGUGGGUCACCUAAUUAUCCAUUUAUGAUCUAUUUUAAAAAUUUUACUUACUUUUUGUCCUACAUUUUUUGAGCAACAAAAUAGUACAUCAUUGUAAUCAAAAUAUAAAAAUAUAACAAGUUACUAAAUAAAUUUUUACUUGAAUAAAAGGAAAAUAAAAAAUUGCAUAGAAAAUUUGAAAAUGGUAUCAAGAAAAAGGGAAGAGAGUGUCGCGCCCCACUUUUUGAUUGAAGUGAAAUGUGUGUGAUGUGUGAAGUGUGGUGUGAGCGUGUGCAAAAUGAAAAGUAAAAGGCCAUGGGACUUAGAAUGCGACGAUUUGGCCAAGUGAAGUUCAAAAGGGUUUUUUCUAUCAAAAAUAAAGUCGCCACUUGGUAUAGAGUUAGGGUGUACCAAGUCACCCAAAAAUGAUUUUUGUUUUUGAAUAAAAAAGUAAAUAAACC
rnacentral:lncRNA from 1 species